UUUUUGAAAAAGUAAACAUACUACUAUAAUAUUUGUUCUCACUGAGGUGAAAACUCCAUAAACAAAAAAUUGGGAAUCACUCCAUUUACAGGCUAAAGCAUCAGAGCUCUUAUAUAAUGAGGAGUUGAGACAAAGGAAAGAAAUUGAAGAAGCACUAGCAAGAGAGAGAGAAGAACUCGAAAAGAUGAAGAAGCAACGAGAUGAAGUCAUGGAAGAAUUAAGGGCUGCCCUAGAUCAUAAGUCACUACUUGAGAGCCAAAUUGCCGAGUCUGAUCAGAUGGCUGUGAACUUGGAGCAGAAGAUAAUCUCAGCUGUGGAACUUUUACAAAAUUACAAAAAAGAACGGGAUGAGUUGCAUGUGGAGCGUGACAAUGCGCUUAGAGAAGCUGAGGAGCUGAGGAGAAAACAAGGAGAGGCCUCAAGCUCACACUUGCCUCAGUUCUUCACGGAGUUCUCAUUUACAGAGAUUGAGGAAGCAACUCGAAACUUUGAUCCAUCACUGAAGAUUGGAGAAGGGGGAUAUGGGAGCAUUUUUAAAGGCUCAUUACGUCACACCCAGGUGGCUAUAAAGUUGCUACACGCUCACAGCAUGCAAGGUCCCUCUGAGUUCCAGCAAGAGGUAGGAUAACCUGAUCAUCGUUUACACUUUAACAAUCCGUUGAUUCAUAGAAGCAUGGAGCUUACAGGAUUAAUUUAUUAUGAGGGAGGUACAUAGAACUAAAAACUAAAAACAAUUUCGAAUAGCUUCUAGUUUUUAUUUCAAAAGCCAAAUAAGCUCAUAUUAUGCUUUUAUUAUGUUCGUGCAUGACACUUUAACAGCCUUUAAGUUCUGUGUUGGCAUUGAGAAACUAAAAAGUGAGUAUAAAGAAAGUUUUCUAUGUGAAACCUUUUAAAUUUUCCUGCCUUGCAGAAGCUGAAGUUGCAUUGUUUGCAAUAUUUUUAACUUAACCAUUUUAUUUGCAAACCAAAAAAUUUGGGAAAAAAAAGCUGUUCCAGAAGAAAUUUAAUUCACAUGUUUGCCAUUUAUCAAAUUAGUUUUUGCAUCUCAGGUGGAUGUAUUGAGUAAGUUGAGGCACUCCAAUCUUGUCACACUCAUUGGUGCCUGUCCCGAAUCUUGGACUCUCAUUUAUGAGUAUCUUUCAAAUGGAAGCCUUGAAGAUCGACUCAGCUGCAAGGACAAUACUCCUCCAUUGUCAUGGCAAACUCGAAUACGCAUUGCCACAGAGUUGUGCUCUGUCCUUAUCUUUCUCCAUUCCAGUAAACCUCACGGCAUAGUACAUGGUGAUUUGAAACCUGCGAAUAUUCUCCUUGAUGAUAACUUUGUUAGCAAACUUAGUGACUUUGGAAUCAGUCGGCUAUUGUCUCGUGGGGAGGGUUCAAGCAACAACACAACACUCUAUUGCAGAACUGACCCAAAGGGAACUUUUGCAUACAUAGAUCCUGAGUUCCUCUCAUCAGGAGAGCUUACACCAAAGUCAGAUGUUUAUUCAUUUGGGAUUAUACUACUACGACUGCUGACUGGGAGACCAGCUUUGGGGAUAACGAAGGAAGUGCAAUAUGCAUUAGAUUCGGGAAAGUUGGAAACACUAUUGGAUCCUUUGGCUGGAGACUGGCCAUUUGUUCAGGCUGAACAGUUAGCUUGCUUGGCAAUGAGGUGUUGUGAGAUGAGCCGGAAGCGCAGGGCAGACCUUGUAUCGGAUGUCUGGAGGGUACUUGACCCUAUGAGGGUGUCUUGUGGAUGCUCAUCGUCAUUCCGUCUGGGUACUGAAGAGCAUUUCCAACCUCCUUCCUAUUUUAUUUGUCCCAUUUUCCAGGUAAAUUUUGUUCAUCAUUUAUUGUAUAUCUUGAAUUGACAUUUCCAUGGUCACCACAUUCUCCAUUGACGGAUACUUGAUGUGUACUGGUUUUUCUGUGUCACGCACACACACGCACUUUAUUGAUCUAAUAUAGCUUCAUAUAUGUUUUUGUUCAUAUGAAGAUUUUCUUUAUGCCAAGGUCUGCUUUACUCAAAUUUUUUUUCGUCGAAUGCUUUACCCAAUUGAAAGUGCCUUAAAAUAAAGUUCCUCUUAUUUUCAAACUUUCAGGAAGUCAUGCAAGAUCCGCAUGUUGCGGCAGAUGGAUUUACUUAUGAAGCAGAAGCUUUGAGAGGAUGGCUGGACAGUGGUCAUGAUACUUCACCCAUGACAAAUCUUAAGCUUGAACACAAGAAUCUUGUCCCCAACCAUGCUCUUCGUUCUGCAAUUCAGGAGUGGCUGCAACAGCAUUGAUAUCUUUAUCCAAUUGUUUGGAUAUUUUUGUUCCACAUAGUUAUGUAUAACUACAUACAUAUAUUCACACCCAUGUAUAAUGUACCAAGUUAGAUUUCUUCUGUUUCUGCUAUGUUGGUUUCUUCCUUGGACCUUAGAGUAUGUGGCCAUACAGACAAACUACGUGUUUACAUGCCAUAUUAAUGUACAGAAGACUUCCCUUAUUCGCUCCAACUUGUUUUUCAUGCUUCUUUUAAUGGUUUACCCAUGCUUGAUCAAGUAUGCUUGACAUAGACUGCAAGAUGAUGAUGAUCUUUCGAUGAUUGAUUCUUGAAUUAAAUGAUGAAGCCUUGGAAAUAUCAUGAAUCCCGCUAAAACAUUGGUUGGAAUGAUAAAUAUGAAGAGUUUUUCUAGGUACAAUAGCUACGCGCUUAUGGUUGACUAUCAACUCCUCCAUGGUUGUGGGUUCCAUGCUUAGCAUGAAAAACAAAAUCAAAUGGUUCAAUUCAGAGCAAAGGUCCAUUCGGCUAGAACCCAUCAGCCGCUUAGACUACCAUCGGCUGUUAUUGUGUGUGUCUCCACCGUCGGAUUCAUGCUCAUCUACAGCUGACAGUCACCCACCGGCUUUGCUCUGGACAUGAAACACCAAGUCAAAUGGGUCGAUUCAGAGUACAGGCCCACUGGGCUAGAGCCCAUCGGAUCAUGAUGCAGCUAAAACUUCAGUUGGGCCCCACACAUGUGACUGAGGUUACUCCAACCGCACGUGUGAUUCCUCCAUUAAGUACGGUUGCAUGUGUGGGUAGCUGACCACAGAAAAGUGCAUCCAUGUGAGGGCCCUACUUUGUGGCUCUAGUGCCGUAUGUUUAACGAAACUCAGUGCUCCUGUGAGCUGAAGCCCACGUAACUCCACACGUGUUCCCAUGCCAUUGGGUAGGAUGACCAAAGGACAAAAGGAAUAAAAUUGUUUGGCUGACUAUGAUCACAUGCCCCCUUACAUCCUGACACGUCUCUCCGUUCGCGUGAGCUUGCAGGUAGGUGAUCAUAAGGGGGGGUAAUAAUUUAUUCAGCCGUCUUAUCUGUACGGUCCAUACGGAAGCUUCAAACCUGUUCGGUCAGUAGCCGGUAAACUGUAAAAAAAGUUCAGAUGCUGUCCCACGCGCUUUUCCAGUCUUUCAAAUUUCAAGCUUCCCUAAAGUCAUUCAGACCAACAAAAAAAAACGCUUCUCUAAAGUCAUGUGUGAAUGUGUGUGAUUUGGAUUUAAAAUUUUGCCAAAAUUAAGGGUAUGACAUUACAUUUUUUGUUAUUUUUGGUGUUUACAUGGAGAAAGAUUUACUUUUAAAACUAGGAUACUGCCAUAUUUGUAAGGCUUUUUAAAAGGUAGUUUUCUACUUUUGUAUUCAUGAUGUCAAUAAAUGUGCAUUGCCUUUUUGAAAAUUUCGAAAAAAAAUAAAAUGAAUAAAGACUUCAAUGACAUGCAAUAAGAUGAGUGAAAAGCAUAACAUGUGUUACAAUAUUAUAUUUAUGAUUUUAAUUAUGUAGCAAAUAUUAUGUUUUAAUUGGAAAGCGUCCUCAUGUGCCAAAUAAGUCCCCACCUAAGUUUUCCUUAUGACUUUAAAUCACAUGUUUAUAUAUAUAUAUAUAUAUAUAAUCAACUUAAUCAAUAAGCCAUUUGUAUUUGGUACCAUAAGAUAAGAUACUUAUGUUGCCAGAGAGUUCGACAAUAAAAUAUUUUUAAUUUUAAAAUCAAGAAUAUCAAAGAUGCGGUAAGUGACAUGUACAUAUCAUAUCAUGUCAAUUAAUAAUUUUAUCUAAUUGAAGAUUAUAUGCAUCACUUGUGACUUUAUAUUGCGAUAUACAGAUGUAGCCUCCCUUGAUUAUUUCAUAAGACAAAUGAUCACUUAUUUUGAGAGUGAAUAAUGUGAUAUACUUAUUUUGUUCGGUUAAAAAAAAACUUAAUAUAAACUAGAAGCUCACAAUUAUAGAUCAUUUACAACAAAUAACCCUAAACUAACACAAUCCCAGUCAAAACAUUAAAUCCAGACUGACUGACGAGCCGACCUGACCUGACGACUUUUACUAAAAAAGUUCGCCCAAUUUUUCAUCAGACUUCUUUCUACUUUCAAUCUCCACCGGAGUCUACAAAUACUUACGCCAGUCCUCAAAAGGCACGUGCUCCGCACGCGUUCAAGGUGCCGGUAAGUAAGUCCAACUUCUACACCGCAAGCGCAAAAAGCAAAGCCAGUUCAACGGUUACACAACAACAAAGCCACGGCCAAAACGACAACGCGCGAAAAGUAAAACGCAUAAGAAAGAAAAAGGAAAAUGCACUCCGCGAUAUUUCUCUCCCUCCCUUUUCCCAUUCAUUCACAUUUUUCAUCAUCAUCUUCUUCCUCAACUUCUUGGUUGGCUCCUUUUUCCCUCUGAAAACCCUAAACCCCCUUCUUCAAUUCCUGGUUAAUUUUUUUUUCCUUUUUUGCUGUGAAUAAAUGAAUUUACGGAGAGGCGUGUGGGUAGUGGUUGGUGUGUUGGUCCUGAGUCUGAGUUUGAGCUCAGCUGGAGACAUUGUUCACCAUGAUAAUAUUGCUCCGAAGAGGCCUGGUUGUGAAAACAACUUCGUUCUGGUAAAUUCACUAACUUUUUGAAUUUUGAUUUUCCAAGUUAAUUUACUUUGCAGCUUAUUUAUUUGAUCUUGAGUUUCUGUUUGGGUGCUGAGAAAACUGGGGAAGGAAGAGAUGAGUGAGGGGAAGGAAAAGAUAGAAUUUUUGCUUAUGAAAAAUUAAAAUUCAAUACUUUGUGAUGAUUUCGGGACUAAGAAGCUCAAUCUUUUUGUUUAGUUAUUGAGAAAAUUGCGCUAAAUUAGUGAAUAAGAAAAUAAUUGCGAAUUUCCAACUGUUUGGCAGUUGGAAAUGAGAAUUUAGCUUCAGUUUGAGUGGCAUGGUGAUCCAGUACAUGAUGUAGACAUUAUUUAGGUAAUUGGUUCUAAAUAAUGAAAAACUAAGCUGACAAAUUUCAUACUUUUGUUCUCUGAAGCUUGUUACACUUUUAUGCAGUGCAGCCUAUAAAUCCCUAGUUCAGGAAAAAAAAUUGUUCCUAGAUUUAGUUUUUGGUAUGUAUUUUGUAAGUCAUUCUAUGUUUUCUUCCUCGUAUUUUCCUCGCAUCUCUCAAUUCGUUUCCCUUUCUCAUCUUCCUCUCUCAUCUGUCUAACUCUCCUUAAUUUGAAAGGAAAAAAAAAAACAGAAACCCUACCAGAUGGGCAGUAAGACUUUAGGCAAUACCUCUGAGUUAUUAAAAUUUCCAUAUUGUUUUAUCUUGUUCUUUGUCUGGUUGCUGAGAAAAUGGCAAAAUGAUCAUCUAGGUUCCUUGAAGAUUAUAAAUUUCUACUUCAGGUAAUCAAAUAAAGUUUUAUACCAGACUCGGUCAAUCAUAAAAUGGAAAAUUUAUUUAAGCAUGUGAAAAACUUUCAUUUUGUUCAUAUUUAAUAAAGAAUUUUUCUAUGCAAUUAUUAUUUGUUUCAAAUGCUUCCUGGAAAAGUCUUAAUCUUCAAUCAAACAAUGAAGUAUUUCAAGUUUUUUUCCUGGUGCUUCUUCUGAAUGUCUUGUCUUGUGAAGUAAUCUAAGUUCUUUUUCUUUAAUUUUUUUUUUAUUAAGCUUUGUUUAGUUGCCAGAAAUACAGUGGAAAAAUGAAAAUCAGAGAAUAUAUAACUGAAGAAAACUUAUUAUCUAUUUCUCUCAUUGUGGGAUUCAAUUAAGCUCAUUAUUUUAUAUAGUAUAUUGGAAUACUUGAAUUUGUUUUGUCUUUUUACCUAACACAGUUACUUGGCAGAUAAACGUACCCUAAGAUUGUAGUGGAGGCAUUGCACCUUGUUUUCUUCACUUUUUUCAACAUAAAAUUUGAAUAUAGCUUUGGCAUUACAUUUAAAUCUAUUUUGUUUUAUAGGUUAAGGUCCCAACUUGGGUCAAUGGUGUAGAAGACAGUGAGUAUGUUGGUGUUGGUGCUCGAUUUGGACCUACCUUGGAAUCAAAGGAAAAACAUGCCACCAAUAUGAGAGUGGUUCUCGCAGACCCCCCUGACUGUUGUAGCACACCUAAUAAUAAGGUAUACUCGAACUUUCAAUUCCAUAUCCUCAAUUUACAUUAUAGAGUUUCACAGCCAUGAAAUAUAAGCAUCUUCCUUAUUGAAGUUGGAAGAUAUGCUCAUGCAUUUUGUGGAUUCAUAUUGUGGAGUGUAUGGCUCUUUUGUAGCUUUCACAAGAUGUCAUUUUGGUGCACCGAGGAAACUGCAGUUUCACAAGGAAGGCAAAUAUUGCUGAAGCUGCUAAUGCUUCAGCCAUCCUCAUUAUAAACAACCGUACAGGUAUUUGCAUGCACUUUUUUCUUUUCUUGUUGGUCUACAAAGCUCUUCAUCCCUAAAGUCCUCUUCUUAGUUUUCUCCCUGAGUAAGAAUGUUCAGUACAACUGUACGGGUUUUAAGCGGAAAAAACAAUAACAAGUACAUAAAAAGAUCUCUAUUGUUAUAAUGGUUUCUCCGGUUAUUUAAAAAAAAAAAACAGUGUUAAGAAGAUUGAUUAAGUGAAAAUAAAUUGCUGUUACAAAAAAUUCUGCUGUCUGUCUUACAGAACUUUUCAAGAUGGUUUGUGAAGACGAUGAACCUGAUGUUCAGAUAGGCAUACCAGCUGUUAUGCUUCCUCAAGAUGUUGGUGCAAUCUUAGAAAAUGAUUUAAUGAACAAAUCCAAAGGUAUGUGUUUUUUUUCUGCUUAUAUUAACAAUUGGCCAUGCAUCACCAUUACUCUGGAUUAUUUAUUGUUUUAAAAAAUAGUUUUCUUGCAUGGAAAUACGUUAUUUUAUUCUUUCUAAGUGGUCUUCUUUUGCUUGUACUGUUGCCUCUGAUAUCCCUUUAUUCAGUUUCUGUGCAGCUGUACUCUCCAUUGCGUCCAGUGGUCGAUAUUGCAGAAGUGUUUUUGUGGCUUAUGGCUGUUGGUACCAUCAUAUUUGCUUCUUAUUGGUCUGCAUGGAGUGCAAGAGAAGCAGCUAUUGAGCAUGACAAACUAUUAAAGGUUAAAUUGUACUUUCAGCAGCUAUUUUGUAACUUUUAGCAGUCAUGGUGCUUGAAUUAUUUGUGUAAUUCACUUAUUCUAUCAAUUUCUAUAUGGUUUGGUGCUAUGUGCGCAGGAUGCCUCUGAUGAUUCUUUGCAUAUGGAAGUUGAUCGUUCCAAUGCUUUAGUGGAGAUUAGCACCACGGCAGCAGUCCUGUUUGUUGUGAUUGCUUCAUGCUUCUUGGUUAUGUUUUACAAACUUAUGUCAUUCUGGUUUGUGGAGAUUCUGGUGGUUUUGUUUUGCAUUGGUGGGAUAGAGGUAUUGUCAUUUGUACCAUGCAGACUUUGCCACUAUGAAUACAACUUCUUAAUUAAGACACUAUUAUUCAUGCGUCCUUUGAGGUUAAUGCUGAACCUUCUCGUUCUGUCCACAGGGCCUGCAGACUUGUUUGGUGACUUUGCUAUCAUGGUAUAUCUCUUUUCUUCCUUUUGUUAGAAAUUUUAUGGGAAUGCACCCUAUUUCCUGUUGGUCGAGAAACUUUUGUUUGAAUUUCAUUGUUCCUUUGCCAUGCUAGUUUGGACAUUUUAUGGGAAUGCAUCAUAGAUAAAAGCAGGGGUGGCAAUUUAGUCAUGUCAUGUUAAUUUGGAUUCCUGUUGAAUAUUUGUCAACCCUAACCCAACCUAUUUAGUAAAUCAUGUCAGAGGACUUAAUUCCCAACUCAAUCUGUUUAUUAAUUGUAUCGUGUCCGUGUCAAUCCAUAUAUCAACUACGAACUUAAGAUUAGAAUCUGUUUGGUUCUAAAAUGCUAUGACUCAUACACUCAUAAAAUAAACAUCUACCUGAUCUAGGUGCAACCUAAACCAAGAAACAGAAUAUUAUUGUACAAGGAUUAUCAAGAAACUGAAAAAAUAGAAAAUAAUAAUCAUUUUCUUCAUACAUUAAUGGUUAAAUAGGUUUACCAUGUCAUAAUCCAGUUAUUGUGUUUGAAGUUAACCUGAUCUGUUUAUUAUUAGUGUUCACAAGUUGUGUCAUUUAUAGAUUUAUGUCAAAUAAUGGUAAACCUUGACCUGCUAAUUUCGUGUUGGGCAUCAAGUGAUGUUAAUAGUGUCCUGUUAUAAAUUGUCAUCCUGAAAAUAAAAAUUCAAGGUUAAAUAAGAACCAAGUUAUGAUCUUGAUACAUCUCCUUCCUUGUGGAUAUAUAGAAAUUUAUUUAGUAGGGUGGAAAAACAGUUAAAAAGCAGCUUGGCCAAAUUGACAGUGAAUAUCAUGUUUCCUAGUGAGCAUUGAUUAAAUAUAAAUUUCAGCGGCUCAACCCUGUUUCCAUAAGGGCUGAUUUGUAAGGUAAGAAUGUUUGCAAGGAUCAGUAUUAAAUAAUUUUUUUAAAUAAAAAGGAUCCUUUUUUGAAAGUUUUAAUUUUAUGUGUGUGUGUGUGUGUGUGUGUGUGUAUUCUUUCUGGUGAAGUCUCCUAAUAUGAAGCUGACAAUUAACCAAAUAUAGUUUCAGACGAUUUAAACGUGCUGGAGAAUCAUAUGUUAAAGUGCCCUUCUUUGGAGCUGUUUCAUAUCUGACGCUAGCCGUUGCUCCCUUCUGCAUAGCAUUUGCUGUUGUUUGGGCAGUGUAUCGCCGCGUCUCAUUUGCUUGGAUAGGUCAAGAUAUCCUUGUAAGAAAUAAAUUCUUUUUUUAUUUGGUCUUAAUGUUGAUGUGGCUAUAGAUUACCACUGGUAUUUUUAAAUCCGAACCUAAUCAUUUGCAACUUUGCUUCUGUAUCUCCCUAAUCCAGCUCUUUUUUGGUUCAUCUUUGUUUUUGACUUUGAGUACCAGAGUCAAGCUGGUAAUGCUCCGAUUAAAAAUAAAAAUAAAACCCUUAUACUUGAAUUCAUGAGUUGUCAAAGAUCCUGUAUUUGGACUGCCCACUUUUAUCAUACUAUUAUAUUUUCCCUAUUUUCUAUCGUGAACCCUGGACGGUAAUAGCUGUGCAAAGUAAUUUUUGUAAUCUGUAAAAUGUUUGUUAGACACUAACCUGCACUCAUGAAAAAUCAGGGUAUUGCACUGAUAAUCACAGUUCUUCAGAUUGUUCGAGUACCAAAUCUCAAGGUGAUAAUUCAAAACCUGCCUUUUUCUGAUUACUUUUGGGCAGAUUGAAUUUUUAGUGUUCACACUGAUCCUAGGGGUUAAAUAAUAUUACAUUGCCUUAAAUCCUUAUCAUAUACAUAUUUAGUUGAGAAAAAAAUUGCACCAUGAAUAUUUUUUAUUUAUUUAUCUAGAGAUUUCACUUGCCAAGCAUGUCUGGCUCUGAAUCAUAACAUAUGCUUUCUUCACUAUUCAAUAAUCUCUCCGUCUCUCUCUCUCUAAUCAGGUUGGAACAAUUCUUCUCAGUUGUGCCUUUUUAUAUGAUAUCUUCUGGGUAUUUGUUUCUAAAUGGUGGUUCCAUGAGAGUGUAAUGAUAGUGGUGAGUAAAUCAGAAAAACUCUCUUCCUUACUGGCACCCUAUAUAGAGGUUGUUACACCUGUCCUGCAAGUGAGAGAGAUUUAAAUAUUAAUCUUUCCUCUUCUGUAUAGGUGGCUCGUGGUGAUAAAAGUGGAGAGGAUGGUAUACCAAUGCUACUGAAAAUUCCACGGUUGUUUGAUCCUUGGGGUGGCUACAGCAUCAUCGGAUUCGGUGAUAUCAUCAUACCAGGAUUGGUUGUAGCCUUUUCACUAAGGUCUGAAAUCAGAAGCCAAAUAUAUCUUUGACAAUCCCUUUUAAGUCUCUACAAUUGAACCUGGACUGUCACUGUUUCAGAAACUGUGUUUUUGCUUCUGUUAUGUGCAUUGGUUUCCAAAUAUUCGUGUACUACAGGGCUUGUUUUGGAAUUCUAUAACAUGAGAAUAAAAGUGAAAACAUGCUUACAUUUAGGUAUUUCAGGAGUUACUCUGUUAAUCACGAAAUUCGGAUAAAUUAAUGAGGAAAACCAUGGGACUCACAAAUAACAAUAUGACAGCAACAUCUGAGAUACUGUGAACUUUUACUUAUUACUACAAAUGAGGGUUUAUAACAUCGGCAUUGUCUCAACAGUUCAUUAAUCGGACAAUUUGUGGGUAACUUUGCAGGUAUGAUUGGUUGGCAAAUAAGAAGCUUCGAGCUGGUUACUUUGUGUGGGCAAUGACCGCUUAUGGUUUAGGUAUGAAUGUGCUAAAUUUUGGGGCAUUUUGCACUUCUUUUCUUUUUUCUAUAUCGAGAAAAUGCAUCUGGUUGAGCUAGUUUCAGAAUUUUAGGUGACUUAAAAACUUAUGCGUGUGGCUCGCAUGCAGGCACCGUGUUUUCUUUGAGUCAAUGAUUUUGCGCAUGAUAUGACCUAUUUGACAAAUAUCUCCUGAAAAAGGAGGAAUAAUUUUAGCAGAAAAUGGCAUUAUUGUUCCUUGGCAAUGUGUAGAAUACCUACAUUUUAAAGCAUAUAUCACCACAGGGAAAAAUUAUCUUGCCUGCAAAAGAAAUUUGAGUAAAAUUGGGGGAGGCCACUGAGGGAGCAGGCCCUUUACUGUCUCCUCUCCCUAGUGGCUAAGAGAGCUAUGCUUUUUUCUUGUUGGAAAUUGCUACUAUUAAUAUGUAGAAAGUCUAAUGCUCUACUGUAACAAGUAUUUUAUUUUGUAGAUCAUCUCACUGUCAUAAUGAUAAGUGUUUCACCUAUGAAUGAUUUGCUUUGGCGAUUUGCAAUUGCAGGUCUCCUCAUCACAUAUGUGGCUUUGAACUUGAUGGACGGUCAUGGCCAACCUGCUUUGUUGUACAUAGUUCCCUUCACACUCGGUAAGAUGCAACAGCUUUUGUAAUCCGCACUAACAUCUAUCUCGAACAUUCGUAGAAUUUGGUUUUGCACUAAACGUUCGUCGUGAGCAGCAAUGACAUAAGCUAGUUACAUUCUGCAGGUACUCUACUGACUUUGGCACAGAUGAGAGGGGACCUUAAAGUUCUGUGGACAAGAGGAGAACCAGAGAGGCCAUGCCCGCACGUCCAUCUCCAACCCUCUCAAUAGAAGUAGUAGGACAAAGCAAUAGUGUGACAGUUAGUACAGUAGUAACUCAGAAAAACCUCUUUUCUUGUCAUAGCUGUAGGAGAGUAUCAAACAUUUACAAGGUUGUUCAUAAGAUGAUUUUUCAAGGACCAACUGAUAUAUAACAGGGAAUACUUAUAACAUCCAACAUUGUUAUUACGCUAUUCAGUUUCGUAGAACCCUAGUUUUCUUUUUCAUGACCAAGUUAAAACUCGUACAACAGCAGCUGCUUCGCAGUGGAGGAGAAGAAUCUGGUAAAGACUGCAAUGAACAUAUCAACGCUGCAGGGUUGCAAGUAAACCCUGAGCUGAAAUAUGUCGCAUUGUAAGAUAAUCAUUUGACUUGAACACGCUCAUCAUCCAUACAGUUACAAUCUCUAUUCACUCAUGCUAAAGGGAGGGCAUGCCUCAAAACUUAUUCUGAGCUGUUGCGAAAAUAAAAUAAGGUAGAAUAAUUAUUCAACGGGGUAGACAACCAAUAACCUCAUACAAGCUUGUGAUAACCGAGCAAAUUUAGCUCAUGACAAGACAACAAAUUACUACUUUUGAUUUAUUUGUUCCCCUAAAAGUACAAACAGUUGCCCCGGAAUCCAAUUGCAGCCUAAUUACCCCAACAACAGAAGAAAAAAGUCAUGUUUGGAGCCAAAUAAAUGAGAAUAGUAACUCUUAGAAGCCUGUUAGCAUCUGGUCAAAAUUGUUCCAGCCAUUGGCCGAUGUAGGGAUAUUCUGUUUGUAAGAACCAUUUCCGCCCUGGACGUCCUCCUGUAUGCACAAGGGGAAAAUGAUGAGUUGUACGGAACACAACGUUCAAUGAAUAACAGCUCUAAAACAGAUAUGCACUCAGUGAAGAACACACAACUCAGAAGCAGAUAAAACAGAUACGCACUCAGGAGUUCCAAAAAAGAGAGUUUAUACAACAUAUUGAAAUAUUGAUCAAUCAUUUAGGUUUUGACAGAAAAACAGCUCCCAAACAUGAACAGCCAGAAUGAUAAAAGAGAUUCUAUAAAAAGCAUUAGCCCAAGAAAACGUGAGUGAUUUGGUGUAGGCAAUAAGGAAAUAGAUAAUAUUUUCCCCAAAACUAUUUACUUUUAUAGAUAUAAUUAUAAUAUAACAAAGAUGAAACAAGAAAACCAAUUUUUUUCUGGGCAAGUGCAAAUUUCAGAGACCUGCCAGGGACUGAUCCGCAGCACUUAUCCAGAGAACGUUUCAUUAGGUUCAAAGGCUAUUUGAAAGGAUAAACAUUUAAGUCUCAUACAAAUAUAAUAAAACUAUUGCAUUUGUAAACUUAUACUAACAAAACAAAAGCAGGAAAAUAUCUUAGCACAGAUUGAUUACUCGUGUAACAACAGUAUAUACGGGAAAAAACAACUGUAAAAGCUUCAGAAAAGGGAGAAAAAGGUGAAAAAGGAAACAGAACAUACAAGCAUAUCUUCUCAUAGAAUCCCUUCCGUUAAUGGAAACUGGUACCCGCCUCCUUUCCUGACCCAAAGCAAGAAUCUCUUGUAUCCUUUGAGGCCAGUCUGAAUUCAAUCUCCUAGCAAAAUCUUCAACCUCCCUGAACCAAAAGAUACAAGAGAAUAUGUAACAGUAGGAACAAGGCAGAACUCUCUCUCUUUCGCUCUAUGUUUUACAUGCACAAUCAUGGUGGAAGAUGCAACUUGAAAUUUCCAGUUAAUACAACUUACUCUUUAGGACAUGAAAUAAAACUGACAUAUUAACAAAGGCUUGCAGGCAGUCCUGAAGCAGGUUUCACAACUGCUAAAAUAUAUAUUUAAUGUUGACAACCAAAAUGAGAGCUAUUUUUUUUAUGAGAAACGUAGCAGAAAUAUAUUUAAAAUGUCCACACAACUAUCAUCCUCAAAAACCCACAAACCAAGAUCUUUUCAGAACAGCAUUAUAUAUAGGAAUUCAUUUACAAUAAUCUACAAACAGCAAUAAAAGAAACCGAAAAAUGCAGUACAUUGUCUACAAAGUUUACUCAUUUCUUUAACAGUGAAACUUUCUUAAGCAAAUUUUUUAUUCUUUUUUAUUUGGGUGAGAGAGGAUUCAAACUUGGGACAUUUUCCAACAAAGUGGAGAGAAAUACCACUAGACUAAUAGCUAGUUGGUUUUUAAGAAAAUUUUGGAACACUGAAAAACAGAUGACAAUUUGAAACUAUUUCGUAGGUAUCAAAUUUCAUCUUCUCAUUGCAUAUCUUCAUGGUGUCCCAUAAAAAUGUAAGGAAGUUGCACUAUAAGUCUAACGAAUUGCAGCAUUCCGUUUCCUUAAGCUUUCUUUAACUAAAGUCAGCAUUGACAAAGUUACAGCCACUCAGGUCAAUUAAGUACCUUUUUUUUUCCUCAUAUUGUUCGAUGUAAUAAUUUUCAUCCACUGAUAUUUGAAUAGAAAAAAGUAUUGUUUUUGGUAUAAACAUUCAAUAACCCAAAAUAGUUGCAGACAAACCUAUCAAUUUUUUCCUUUAACGCAGGGUCAAUCUCAUCAUCAAUAUCACCAUCAUCAAACUCAACCAUAUCCUCCAGGCCGUCAUCGUUUAGAUCUUGUAGCUUUAAAGUCAAACUAGGACUGGCUCUAAAUUUGUUGACUUCAUCGCCGGGGCAAGCAAACUUAAGAUUGCUCGACUCCUACAACAUUCGGGGGAAAGGACAAAGAAUUAUAAAAAAAAUCGGCUACCUAACAACUCAAGCGGAAAUGCAUAAGAAGUUUAAGAGAAAAUUAGUGAUUCGAACCUCAUGGAUUUCAUUAGCUUCAUAUAGACAAGUGUUUUUUUGUUGAUCUUUUCUUCUGCGAUUCUUCUUUUUGUUCUUGGAAGUUUUAAUCCCCUUGGAAUCUGUGAAACAGAAUUUCCUUACCUCCAAUGAGGCCUUCAAAAGGAAAUAAAGUAGAAAAUAGACGACUAAGACACUAGACUUCAAAUCCCAUUUCAAUGGAAUCUUAAGUACUCCAAGUACAGUAUAAUGUGGGCAAAUGCAAUCCUGAAAAUAUUAGUGUCAAGUAUGUCUCCAUGGGAGUGCAAUUGGGUACCUUGGAACUACAAGGUCGUUCAAUGUUAGUUCCAACUAGUUAAAAAGUGGUAAAAUGUCCUCAUUUAUUGAAAAAUACAAACAUAAUAAGUAUGCAGUGAAGGCACAAGAAAGCAAUUACUCAAGUAUACCUCCAAUUUCUCCAUUAAUGAAGGACAAGAGAUCAUCAACUGAACGGUCAUCGCUUCGCUCUUCUUCAAGCUCAGCAUUCUGAAAAGUAUGGAAGGUUCAAUGAUGACUACCAUCAAGAAGGAUGUAUUGUUUAGCAUAGUAUAAAGCCAGCAAUUACAUUACGUAAAGCCUUUCAAUGCAAAUUUAUCGAACGCCAAAGUCACCUUCAAUUUCUCUCUUUCCUGAAGUUCUCUCCUCUUUCGUGCAUAUAGUCGAUUCAAAAGCCGGAUACGUGGAUCGUCAGUUGAAUUUUUCAAAGGCUCCAACUUCUCUUCCUGGAUGAUUUCUUAAUUUUGUUAAAAACAACAAAGAAGAAGCAAGUUUUUCUAAGCAUACACAGAUAUCUCAAGCACCAGAGACCUCUGUAAGAUCAUCAGGCAGAUGAAAUAUCUCACGUAUCUCCUCAGGUGUUUUCCCUUCAAUUAUUCGUGCAAGAGCACGACUGGUAAGAUCAACCAACGGCUUUAAUUGGAGGCUGUCAGCAGCUGAAGUCAGCUCACAGAGCUUUUUUGUGUCCAUUCGGAUGUAUUUUUCAUCAAAAGCCUUGCAUUCCUACACAAACCAAUGGCCCCAAGUCAUAUGACCAUGUGAACUUUACACCAGCAUCAGAGGAAACAUUUAAUCCACUGCAGGUGGAAGAUAAUUGUCUUCAGUAGCUCAAAUUCAUGCACAGUAGCUGCAGGCAAGAGCAAGGAAAGAACAUAGACUCGGAAAAAACAAAAUGACAUUCCAACAACAUUAGAACCUUGUUCGAGCGACCUGGUACUUGAUGAAACCUGCAGUAAUCAAUAAUUAGGCUCAACAUGGCAGUAUUGACUCUUUCUGGAAGAGAUAUUGCAUGGUUCUUGGAAGAUCCCAUCCCUUUUUGUAUAUUCUCUUGACAUAUCAUGGGGCAAAACAUGGCAACCUCUUGUUCCACUUGUUGGAUUGAACCAUCAGCAGUCUGAAGCCAGAUAUAAGACUUCAUCAUCUGAGAAUCGGUUGGCACCAGUGUGACUUCAGAAUAACUUUUAAGUCUUAACAUUACAAAAAAUAAAAAUAAAACCAGCAACAGAUACACAAACACACCANNNNNNNNNNNNNNNNNNNNNNNNNNNNNNNNNNNNNNNNNNNNNNNNNNNNNNNNNNNNNNNNNNNNNNNNNNNNNNNNNNNNNNNNNNNNNNNNNNNNCCCCCCCCCCCCCCAACACCCCUUCCCUUUCCAAACAAAAAAACAAAAAAAGAGAACAAACUAAUACCCCACAAGUGAAGGCAGCUACAAGCAUUCAAAUGGGAAAAAAAAAGAGGAAACAAUUGAUAGAACUAUGGCUUGAAGAAAAUAAAUAAAAUUCAUUGAUCUACUAAACACUAGACAAAGAGGACAUAACUUGAUCGGAAAAAAGGAGGGGAGGGGCAAACAGAAGCAGGAAAAACACACAAUGACAGAGUUAUUCUACCUCAGGUUUAAUAACAGCCAUGUCACCUUCUGACAUUUGUACAAAGCCAAGUUCUCAGACUUAAAAACUGGAGUGCAUCAGGCAAAAGAAAAUAACUUUAUGCUUCUUAAGCAAUGAGGCUCAUAUGCAAACUAAUUUAACUUGUCCACAGUUAUUUCCUGUCAAGUCAAACAACAUUAUCAUUAGCGGCCCUUCUGUGUAAAACUUGCCCAAAUUUUUAUCUAACACAAAUUAAACAACACAGCUCUUACAUGCCACGAAACAACCAUUUCCAAUAUUUCUUAACAAAAUCUGUACUUCAUACUUAUUUCCUUCAUUUCCAAACGUAAGGAAACAGGAUGUUGAUUAUUAUAUUUCCCUAAAUCAUGUAAUAAAACUUACAAUUUUUAGGUACCUGAGCUGAGUUUAUCGAUUAUAAUAAAUAUUAUAACUGAUAGAUGAUUGAAGACUCAUUUUACUAAAGAUUUCAGUGCACUGAGCUCCGAAUUAAUGGGUAAAUCGCAAUUUUUGUUCUUUGCAACCAAUUUCUUUUUCCUGCACUUUCUCGGCAACCAAACAAGUAUAUAUAGAAGAACCAAUACAUAUAGGAAAGCAAAAGGACAGACAAACCAAUUAACACAAAAAGGAGACAUACUUAAAGUACGGAUUGCAGAUAGCGAGAGCUUUGAAUUGCAGAGAUUUGGCGGUUGUCGGCGAACCCCAAAAUGGAUAAAAAGCGAUUUAAUUUAUGCAUUUGAGAAAAAUAAAAAUGAAAAAAUAAAAACUUUAUUUGUGUCUGAAAAUGCGUCAAAAUACAAACGUCUGCCACUCACACGUCAGCCUUCGUUAGGGUUUCCUGACCUCUGUCAUUUAUGUCUGAUUGUUUAUUCAUGUUUACAAUCGACGGCUCAUACUCAUUUAUAAGUGUUUAGUUAACUUUACGCCAUUAAUUGAAGUGAAUCCUAUCAAUAGCGAAAAACUUAACAUGUAAUAUCUAUAUAUAUAAAGCAAAAGGUAGAGAAUGAUGAAACAUUCAAAAUACCAGAAAAUAUCCUUAGUUAAUGCAAACAUUAAGAACUAAACUUAUUAAUUAAAUGAGGAUAAUAUGGUAAAUUCACACUUUUUAUAAAAAAAUUAAAAUUAAAUAAAAAAUAAUGGAUCCUAUUUUUAUGGAACACUUUUUAAGUCUAAAAUUUAAAAUUUUUUUAAAAAAAUGCCUCUCGCAAGCGCGGAAGCACAUGCAGAGAGGCUAGUAUCAAGAAAGAAAAGCUUACAUACAAUACAACGUAUUACAGAAAGAAAUCUACAUAUAACGUAUCACCUAUGUUGUACGGACACCUUAAUUAGUUAAAAUAAUAUAAUUUUUCAGAAUAGCAAUGGGCCUAUUUUGGGUCAGGUAUGACAAUACUAUUCCCGUCCCCGCACUCUAUCCCCAUCUCGUCACUGCCCCCAUCCCCCAAUAAUUUUUUUUGAGGAAUCCAUGUCCCUGUUGAGGGAUUCUCUAUCAAAUGUGUCCCGAAUCCCCUAUUUAUUUGUAGACCAACCAAUUCACUUAUACAACACUAAAUAUGUUCUUAAUGUUAGUCGAGUAAAUAGAAACAUGUAUCCAUACAAAUAAAAUGUAGCCUAAUUAAAAAAGAAACUGGUUGAUCAUCACUAUGUUAUUAAGAUAUACAACAUGCAAACCUGUCAUUUUUAUUUAGAAACCUGAGAGAUACACAUGUAAUUGAAAUGAAUGCCAUAUGCAAGAAAGAAAGACCCCAUAAUAGUAUAAUGGUAUUAAAUUUCUAAAAUAAUUUGAAAAUAAGUUCAUUGUUAUUUUAUAAAAAUUAAAAAUUAUAAUCUCUGAUCAGGUCAAGUUCGAGAAUAAGGAUAAUAGUACCAUUUCCGGCCUAUCUUUGACCGGGGAUUUUUAAAAUUCAAGGAUCCCUAUACCCGCCCCAAAAUUUCCCUUAAAAUGUCCCCCAAUUAGGAUCGGGGACCCGACGGAAAUUUCUGCCAUCUCUAAGAGUAUUGAACAUGCAUUGGACAUAAUUAACAAACUUGAACACAGUCAAGACACUCACUGACAUGGUCAACCCACGGUACACUUGAAAUUGUUUUAAAAUUAGGGCCAAAACACAAUUAUUGAAACUUGUUUAGGGACAAUUUUGAUUUUUAAAAAAAGAAACUGGAGUCAAAAUUAUAAUUUUGAAACUCUUUUCUACUUAUGCCAGUUACCUUAUCAGGCCCUCUUUCUCUCCAUCCCAACUUCCCCCCACCUUUUUCUUCUCUUCUUGGUACUUGAGAUCAACUUAUAUUUUAUUUUGUGUUGUAUUAAUUAUUUUGUGUCGAUACUCGGUACUCAAAUAUUGAAUUAGUCCAACAUCCGAGUCUAAUCCACAAUUCUUAUUGGUGCACCCAACAUGGAUUAGGAUACUAGUUGUCUUUAAUUGGAAUCAUUUUGCUCCUACCAACCAACCCACCAAAAGAGACCUAAUGAUCAUUUUAUCGCGAUGGAGACUAUAUGAGCUAACUAUGCUCAUCAUCUGUCGAGCCUCAAACCAACUACUUUGCCUGUGGGAUUUGGUUGUGGAUAUUUAAUUUGGGCCAUGAUGAACCUCCGUUUCCAAUUUGUAUAGUUAAGCCCAUAAGCUUUUUGACUCAAAUCAACAAACACAAAAUAUUUCAGCUAGUUUUAGUUGCCUUCAUGUUUUCUCAAUUCAUCCAUAAAUGCAGGCAUCUCUAUCUAUAUUUUGCAGCUUUGCAUAGUUUUUGCUCCCAAUUUCGUAGGUUUAGACAGACAGACAGACAGACAGACAGACAGAUGAUGUUUUUGUGUUGGUCGGCUGAGCCUUGUUGGGUGGAAGAAGAAAACAUGCAAGUGUAUGACAUCGGAUGGCUGCCGCGUGGAUCCAGGGUGUUGCUUGGACGGUUUGAUGCGAAGUGUGUGGUGGUUGAAAACUUUGAAGAUUAGGAAAAAUUAAGGGUUCAGAUUCGAAAUGAUUGAGACGGGGCCCACAUACCACAAAAGUAAAGCAAUUGUGUGAGUUGGAUUUUGAACGGCCGGCCAAUUCUCAUGACAAAAGGAUUUUUCAGUUUUCUGAGGAGAAUGAGCAGGUCAUGGUGAGGUCCCCUUGGUCCUACCCACUUAUGAAUGUUUUCUAGCAAUCAAUUCUUGUGUGUGUAUUAUAUUUUAGGGCAUGGAUAAUGUUGAUACAUCCAAAUAAGUGUUAUAAAUCUGGAGAAUUUGGAGAGAAUUGAGAGAGAGAGAAGGGAAUGUAUUCUCAUAUAUUUCUGUGUGUUUACAAUCUCAUCUCUGUGUGUCGUACAAGUAGAGGGAGAAGCCUAUUUAUAGGCAAGUAGAGGUGUAGAGGUGGGCUCCACCAUAUAUUUUACAACACUCCCCCUUGGAGACCACAAAUGAUACAGAAUAUGUUUCGUUAAAAACCUUGCCAGUAAAAACCCAGUGGGACAAAAACUGGUCAAAGGGAAAAAGAGUACAUAAUCAUGUGUAACAUAAAAUUCUAUGUAUAUUGACGCGCGUGCGACACUGCCUCGUUAAAACCUUGCCAGGAAAAACUCAGUGGAAUAAAAACCUGGACGAAGGAAAAAGAGUACAGUGUUUGAAGAUCUUUAUUGAUAGCGCGCUCCCCCUGAUGCUUGACAAAAUAUCUUUAAGUCAUACUGUUGAUCAGCUUUUUGAAUAUCGUAGUUGACGCUGCUUCUGUGAGUCAAUCUUAAGCGACACUGCCUCGUUAAAACCUUACCAGGAAAAACCCAGUGGGAUAAAAACCUGGAUGAAGGAAAAAGAGUACAGUGUAUGAAGGUCUUUAUUAAAACCAUGCUCCUCCUGAUGAAUAUCUCCCCCUGAAAAAUUUAGGACUAGCUUUUGUCCAGUAAGCGACCAUAAAAAUUUUCAUAGUAUACCCUAAACCUUUGAGCGACACUGCCUCGUUAAAACCUUACCAGGAAAAAUCCAAUGGGAUAAAAACCUGGAUGAAGGAAAAAGAGUACAGUGUGGAGCUGAGCUCUAUCUGGUCUAGUAUACUUCUGGAAGAACAUUUAAGGACCAACGGAUAAGACUCACUUAGUAUAAGCAAGAAUCUCGUUGGUAUAAUACUCGAUCGAGACAAAUAUUUCAUGAAUUCUGCAGAAGUUUUAAUGUGUUGCAAUCACAUUAUAAUCAAUGUACUCACUGAGGUAAUUUAUGCAUAGUAAUAUUGAGUACAAACUUUGUGCUUCAAGCACAUGUCCUUUAGGGACUUGCUUUAUGCAAUAUCAAUCCUCUCAACGGAUUUUGUCUAAAAGGGAUUAAACUUUAUGACACAUUAUAUAGCUUUUACCUAGCUAUUUAUACAUCUUUAGGAAAUCGCUUCUGGCGAUAUGCUCUGUGCAUUUAAUAACCCUUAAAGAUAAUAUGUUGGUCUCCGUAAUUGUGUAAUAAGGGGGGGGGGCACAAUUGAAUCUGUAAAUAUGGAGAAAACCCAACAUUCCUUGUUUCUGUCAGAAACAGUGUGUCAUACAAAGUAGGUAUAUUCCCUUUUAUUCCGAACACCCAAGUAUAAAUUCAGUAUUAACAAAUUUUGGAGUUCGUAUUGUGGGUUUGUUCUUUCACGUUCAUUCUCAUUUAUAAUGGAAUUACCUCAUUCUAUUUUGGCCAAUGAUAUUGUCGACAUUUAAUAAUUGAACGUGGUUCCAAUCUACACAGCCCAUUGAUGAUUUGAGUAGCUACUCAAAAACCAAAAAUUGUCAUUCAUCAAUUCAUGAUCCCACCAUUCUUAUUUGCAUGCGCAUGCAUCAAUUAUAAGCAUUUCUUUGCUUUUGGGUACCCAAGCCACUUCAUGAGGCUUUUAUUAUGUGAGAAUGUGGAUUAUAACCUCCAUUGGAGCGUUAUUUAGCAGUAGGGCGUGGAUAAUCUCCAUUUAGGGAGUUGGAACAUUUAGAACCCAUAUAUCUGUCAUGCUGAAGGCAUGCCACAGAUUAAUACAUACAUGUCAAUUAAUUUCUGGGACCUUAACCCAUAUUAUGGGACUUUAACCCAUAUAAUUUGCUACGCAUUAGGCGUGCACAAUAUCAAUAUUGACAUGUCAAAGGAUUGUCCUUUCGGGAUUUCAAUCCACAUCAUUUGCUACGCAACAGGCGUGCAUCAUAUUAAUCACUGCUAUACCCAUAUUCUGUUCUUAUGGGACUUUAAUCUGUACAGUGUAUUAUCAAUGUAUCCAACUUACAAUCUGUAAAAUUUGCAUUAAUAAUUCAUGGAUACAUACAGGCCAUUCUUUUGGAACAGACUUAUCUCCCCAUUUGGUUACCUUUCAAGAUAAAAUAUCAAAUAAGUAUAUAAGCAUAUAAUAACACAAAUACUGCUUACAUCCUUAGGUGGGAGAAACUUUUCUCAAGUAUCAUUCAAGCUCGUAUCGGCCCAGUAAAUAUAAUGUAGCGCUUGAUGAUCUAGUUAUAUCUUGCAAGAGCAAAAUCACAACUCUUUUCUCUGUCAAAAACAAAUAAUCCUCAGAGAGUUACAAAAAGAGAAAAAAUGCAAAAAAUUGUGAUAUUGAUUGCAAGAGAAGGUAAGCAAUUUGGGAAGGAAGCUGGUGGGAGCAGACAACAAGCUCAGCAAUCAAGGAAGGAAGCUGGUGGGAGCAAACAACCAGCUCUCAUUUCUUCUAGUCUAGAAGAACUUCCAGAGAUUAGAGCAUAAGGUUGCCUUCACAGUUCCCUGAUGUAGCGGAAACGUGAUCAGGGAUAGUCUCGCUUCCUGAAUGGAUGAUCAGAGAUAGUCUUGCUUCUCGGGCAUAUUAAGUGCUCACUGAUAAGAAAAACAAGUAGAUAUCGCAUCCCUAGGUAUGGAGAAAACUGGAUGUCUUCUGCAAAGAGAAUUUCGUUAGUAACACAUUUAUACACAAAUACAAUGAAUAGGUAGAACCGGUGAAUUUCAAAUUAACCAUAAGAAAAAUUGCGAGAUUCUUGGGAUACUUUUGAAAAAGUAGCUCCGUGAAAUCCGCAAAGCAAGAUCGGCUUUUGACGAAAAUAAUACUUUGAAAAUGCCGAAAGUGCCGACAAACAUUAAUGGAGGCCACGUGAAGUUUUGGAAUCUGGGAAAGAAGAAAGAGAAUAUGGGGAUCCGAAAAGAUAUUGGGAUCCUGAAAAACUGUAGCCAUAUUUCCUCCUAUAGAUAUUGCCUUUGCAAAACUCUGAGCAACUGCGUUUCAACUUAACUUCCUUCAUUUUCUGAAACUUUAGUUUUCUUAAGACUUUCUUCGAAACCUUCUUAAAAAUGGCUUCCUCUUCUUCCUGCCCAGAUUAUUUCAAUUUAAAUGAUACUCCCACAACAACCAGUGACGCCCAAGUUUGGCGUCCAUCCUUUGUAUCCAAAAAUCGUCAUCUCACAGUUAAUGAUUCUGUGAUGAUGAAUGAUGCUACUGCUGUCAUAGUAGCUAGGAAUUUCAUUACUCCAAUGGAUGAAAUGCUGUUAACAGGGAGAUCAGAGGAAGAGGCUAUUGAUGACUCAAUGGCUUUUAGCAUUCAGAGUGCUGCUUCUGUUUCUAACAUGGCUGAUCGUUUGCGUGCUAGAGCAAACGAGGUUCAGAUUUUAACAACUGAAAAUUCGUCUCUCCAAAGAAUGCUUCAUGAGUCUCAACAGGAGGUUGAGAAACUUAAAGGAGAGAAUAAUGCCUUGUUGAAACUGGUGAGUUCGUACUCUGUUGAUACACUGAGAAGGCUAGACAUGCUGCAGGUCUCCAAUGAAAGAAUUUUGGGAGACCACGAGAGGCUCAUGGCUAAGCUUAAGAGGCGCCGUCCUCUUCCUUCAGAGGCUUCCAGAACAUAAUGUAAUUUUAUAGAUUUUACAGGGUCUGCACCUUCAUUGCAGGUGGAAAAAAUCUAUCUGUUGUAUGUUCCCGUAAUAAUAAUUGCGCACACUCUUAAACUUGCACCUAUGGUUUUUACGUCUUUUCAAAAUGACGGUUUAGAACCUUGUGCCUUAUAGGUUCAAAUAACCACAUCGACUCUCCCAAAUUUCAUAUUUCAACGUAUGGAACUUUUGCCUGGGCUAACACAAACUCAGAAUUUAUUCGCCCUUUCCAAGUGGACAUGAAAUAUGAAUUGAGUAAAAGCCACGGUAAUAUCUCAUAUAUUUGGGUUCAUGAGCUUCCGGCCCAGAUAUAACAAAAUAUGUGGGGAGCCUCAAUUCAUCAUUCUCUUAUGCCAAAGAGAUAUGUGGCGUACCACAAUUUGCAAUAAUACCUCAAGGGUUGUCCAUUUAAUUGUUGGAACUUCAGGUUCUCAACACUGUUAGAUUUUGAACUUCUGGCCAAAAUCACAUAUUCUCAUGGUAUGGACAUUCAAUCCUCUUAGAUUUUGAACUUCGGGCCAAAAUCACAUAUUCUCAUGGUAUGGACAUUUUUACAAUUUUUCUGUAUAUAUUUCUGGACUUCAAGCCCUUACAUAAUUGUCCAUAAUUUGAGGAACUUCUGGCAUCUCAUUUAAUUGCUCAUCCAUGAGUUUAAGGAACUGCAGGUUCCCUUUUGAAUGGUGAUAGUUUACCCAAAAUGGUAAAUAUUUAUGCAUACAUCACUAUUCAUGUAUACGGCACUAUUCAUGUGUACAGUACAUUUGCCAGUACAGUUAUCAUCCAUGUGUACGGCAUUAUGAACCAAUACGGUACUGUUACAUCAUUAAGGAACCCCAGGUCCUUAUUUAUAUGUCAGGGAUCAAGAACCCUCAAGUCCGAUCACAUGUUUACAAAUAUAGUACCGGAGAGACUGCCAGUUCUCAUAUUAACAUCAUCAUCAAGGAUCUUCAAGUCCUGAUGUAAUUGUAUGAUGAGGAUCAAGGAACUUCUGGUCCUGAUCUGCAUACUGUAAAAAUUCAUCAUACAGCACAUUUAAUCCAUAAAAUAAAUUACUUGCUGUAUGGACGUUAAUUCCGCACCAUACUUUAAAUAAAAGGAAAUAUCAAGUAUGAGGGUUAAUUCCACAUCAUACUUUUAAUAAAAGUAAAUGUUCAGUAAAGUAAAUUCAUAAAGUAUGAGGGUUAAUUCCACAUCAUACUUUUAAUAAAAGUAAAUGUGCAGUAAAGUAAAUUCAUAAAGUAUGAGGGUUAAUUCCACAUCAUGCUUUUAAUAAAAGUAAAUGUGCAGUAAAGUAAAUUCAUAAAGUAUGAGGGUUAAUUCCACAUCAUACUUUUAAUAAAAGUAAAUGUGCAGUAAAGUAAAUUAAUAAAGUAUGAGGGUUAAUUCCACAUCAUACUUUAAGUAAGAGUAAAUGUGCUUGUAUGAGCACUAAUUCUGCUCCAUACUUUUAAAUAAAAGUAAAGGCGUGGACGAUAAACCCGCACCACCCUUUUAAAUAAAUACUGUUGUAUGGGUAAUAAACCUACACCAUACAGUAAAUAAAAUAAAUGUGGGGUUAAAAACCACCACCGAAUAAAAUAAGAAAAAUGUUAGUAUUAGUAACGGCCUCCCACUGAUAAUAUGUUUAGUAUUACCAAGGGUCCAUUUUUGUUAAUGGUUAGUAAAAGAAAAGCAGAUAAAUAUAAUAGGAAAUAAUAGGGAAGAUAAGGGAGCAGAGAUCUUAUCGCUUAUUUUUUUUUUUCCGCUUAUGCCCUUGCUGAGUGAUCCCUUUUUUUUUUUUUUUUCAGCAUUUUGGUGGGUUUUCACAUGUGCAGCAGAAUAUGUGGGUGGGGCUGUAAUCAUGCGCUCCCGACAACAUGUGCUGUUCUUUUUCUUUAUCGGUGUGUGGACUCACUUUCCAGAUGAUAAGGGGGGAUGCACAUGGUUAGCGCAAUAAUUGCUUACACUUCCUUUCCAGAUGAUUGCCCAUACCCUGAAUAAACAUACCCCAUGAGAUCGACGAGCAAGUGGAUGCUCAAUUCACGUAGCACCAAGUACUCGAACUGCACGUAGCACGUCUUCCCCAAGUGCAGUGCCUAACUUUCCUCGUCCGUCGGAUAACCAAAGCUCGAGGGUUGCAUGGAGAGCUCUCUGCUUCUCAGCGACCUCUUGACGGCGUCGCUCAUGACUCGGACGAUUCGCUUCAGGUCCUCCGAGCUGCCGACGAAGUCUCUCGGCAGUAGCUACAACAGCCGCGAGUACUGGCUCGUUGGCCUAGCGAUUUCGAACUGGGUGGCGAAGUCGAGGUCCACGAAGUACCGGCUCUGCCACAUGGGGGAGCUCGAUUGGGCGCAAACCACGUCGAUGAACUCGUAGCUCCCGGCGGUGAUGUUGCUGGAGGAGCUUCAUCGCUUUCGCGUCGGAGACCGAGUCGACUUGGUUCGAGUCAGUCUUGUUGUCCGGAAACCGAGUCUCGGAUGAGUCGUCUUGGAGGAAAAACGUGGACGAGCUCGGAGAGGCAGUGCGAGUCGCCGUCGCCGGAAUGCUCGCUUCCGCUGCUGACAUCGUAGAUGCUGAGCUCGGAGCUGUAGCCGCCGACGAGGCGUGCCCAGACCUUGUCGUCGAGAGGGUAAGUGAUUCUCUUUGUUCUGUUAAUUUCUUUUGAGUUGCCAGAUCCUCAAGGGACAUGAAUACUUAGCAUUCAUGGUGUCACGUCUUCCCGUCCACUCAGAUUAUCAUCCUUCCAUAUAUAUGACCGUUUUAGGUACGGAUAGACAGAUAUAUAUGUAAAGGGCCCCAAAGAUGCUCAGAAGGAAAUGGACCCCACAUCAGAUAUGCAUCUGGUGGGUGAGAAGAGCCCGAGAGCCACAAUCGAAUAUCAACCCCACUCUGCCUCUUUAAACUUGUGGCCAAGGUGUGAGCUUUGAGCUUUGGGAGAGACAGAGAGAGAGCCUUCUGAGUUUGAGUUUGAGAAUGGAAUAUCCCCAAAGUCAGAGGGAUUUUGUGUUGUGAAGUGGAGAGAUGUUUUUGGUUCUGACAGAGAGAGAGAGAGAGCGUUGAGGCGAUCUGGGUUUCAUCAGAGAAUUCAGCUGGUAUUGUUUUAGCGAAUUCGUGCUGAUAACGUGUUAUAAAUCUGGAGAAUUUGGAGAGAAUUGAGAGAGAGAGAAGGGAAUGUAUUCUCAUAUAUUUCUGUGUGUUUACAAUCUCAUCUCUGUGUGUCGUACAAGUAGAGGGAGAAGCCUAUUUAUAGGCAAGUAGAGGUGUAGAGGUGGGCUCCACCAUAUAUUUUACAACAAUAAGAAUUAUUUUGAUCAAUGAUUAGCCCUUUGCUUAAUCAACAAUUCAGAUUAAUAUUCUUAUGUAUAAAGUAUCAAACUUUGGGAUAAGAAAAUAAGUGGAUACAUAAUAUUGUAGGAAAAAUUGGUGCAAAGAGGUGUUGUUGGAAUGAUGUCCUUUGAAUUGUUUGGUGCAUUUAUUUUGAUAAGACAAUGUUGAUCACUUAAAAGAAUAUGAUCGUUAUUUCAGAACGAGAAAUGAAAUUAUUGAUUAUAUAAUCGAUGUUUAAAACUUAGAAUUUGAAAUUUAGAUAUCUCUGAAAUUUGAGAAUAGUUUUAAAAUCUCCAGUAUUUUUGACAACCUUUAUCUCAAAAUUUUAAUUUUAUUUAUAAAGGGCAGGCAAUUAAGAGGAGAGAUGUUUUGCUUAGGAAAAGGAUAUAGCACUUCAAUUUUAUCUGAAAAAAAAGAAUAAAAAAGGACUGUGGAACUUUUUAAUUUCAUGAAAGUUAAGUAAAGUAUGUAGCCGUUGUCCUCCAUGUUGUUGCGUGAUAUUCCAUUUCUUUUAUUUAGACCCAUUCUUGACAAACGUCCACAAGUUUGAUGCUUUUUAGGCUGCCGUCCCUUUCUCAACGGUCCUAAAACGCCCCACAAAUUUCCUCAACCAUUAAAAUUUUUACAACUUCUUUCUUCUUCUUUUUCUUUCUUUCUCUGGGUUUGUGUUCUUCAAUCAUACUGCACCAGAAGAAGUUGCCUUUACAUUAUAAACAAUGAAUUGCCUUGGCCAAAGUGGUCAACUUUUGCCUCUUUUUAGACCUAUCAUUAUUAUCCACCACACCCCUUGAUUCUAAUUGGGUGCCAUACAUGGUAUUACUAUUUUUGAAUACAAAGUGAUUUUGGAGAGAUAUUUGGCCACAACUUUAAUGAUAUGAUCACUUUUUCCAACACUUGACAAGUGUUGAUAAGUGUUGAUAAGUAUAACCAUUGUUACAUAAAUUAAAAUAAAAAAUUAAUCAUGGUUAUGUCUAUAAAUACGUGUCAAAUAUUAAAAAGAGUAGUGAGCUUACAUCUUGAAUUAAAAUAGUUAAAAAAAAUAUUUCUGUAAUACUAAAGAAGGAGAAAAUUAAAUCUAAAACAUUAAAUACAAGGAUAAAUGCUCUUUAGCAACUGUGGUACAAGGCCCUUAUAUGGUAUUUGUUUAGACAGCAAUUUAACCAGAGACUUGUCACUUGUUACUUGAGGUUUAAAAUACUUCAGACCAAGAAAAAUGAAAACUUCAAAAUAUUGAAGAAGUGGAUUAAAAGCCAAGGAAGAAAGAGACAUGAUGGUGGAGUGAAUAAGAUUAAUUUAUCCAAAAGAAUCUGCAAGGAAGAUAAAGAUACCGCACCAUCCCUGACAUAGUGACAGACAGCAGCUGUCCUCAUCUUUUCUGCACUUUCCAGAAACAUCUCUUGAUUAAACCCACAGAAAUUUAAUAUUUUUAUUUACUAAGGAAUUAAAGUAAUGGUUAAGAUUAAGAAUUAAGCUUCCACUUUUGAGAAUUAUAGAAUAGUUCCAAAUAAUUCACCAACCAAAGAGCCCAAAAGGGUGUCAGUGAUUUUCUGUUUUCUGCUGGAGUAUAUAUUAAUCAAUUUAGCAAAUACAACUCAAAAAGUGCAAAUGAGUUUUAUUUUAUUUUUAGGUUAAUUAAAAAUAAAAUGCUUUUCAUAAUUUCUUUAACAUACUUUAACAGCUCACACUCGUAAUAUUUGUUUCCCUUUAUAAACCUCACUCCAUUGCUCACUCAACCAAAUCAUAGCUCUCACUCCAAAAACCAAAGCUUUCAACUUUGUAGGGAGGGCAGGCCAAAACCAGAGUUCUUGAGAGAGAGAGAGAACAGAGAAAUGGAAGGGAAAGAAGAAGAUGUGAGGCUGGGAGCCAACAAAUUCUCAGAGAGGCAGCCCAUAGGGACAUCUGCACAGACAGACAAGGACUACAAGGAGCCACCACCAGCACCUCUGUUUGAGCCUGGUGAGCUCAAGUCCUGGUCUUUUUGGAGGGCUGGAAUUGCUGAGUUCAUAGCCACCUUCUUGUUCCUCUACAUCACUGUCUUGACUGUCAUGGGUGUUUCUAGAUCUCGCAGCAAGUGUUCUACUGUGGGUAUUCAGGGCAUUGCUUGGGCCUUUGGUGGUAGCAUCUUUGCCCUUGUUUACUCCACUGCUGGUAUCUCAGGUAUAUUUCUUUAUUUUUCUCUCAUAUUUUUCUUUCUUUUGGUUUGAUCUACUACGUACUUGGCAGGCUUCCUUUCUUUUAUUGUUUUUGUCUUAAAAAAAAUAAAGUUGAUGGGUUAAAUAUACCCAAAAAAAAAAAAAAAUUCAGGUUUUGAGAUGUUUCUUAAAUUUAUGUUUGGUUCCUAGGAAAGUGAGGGAAGGAAAAGUAACAGUGGCGAAAGAAAAAAAGUUCCUCUUUUACUUAUGCUUUCUGAGAGAAUCAAAUGGAGGAGUCAUGUUUGUGUAUGGAUUUGCUGUUUUGGUUGGGUAUCUGAAAGUUUUACUGGCCAUCACUUUACAGAUGUUUGUAUGCUUGCUGAUGAAAAAUAAAGAAACCACUUACUAAAAGAGAAAAAAGAAAAAAGAAGCGAUCUUGUGUUUGGAUAUUGUGAUCAUCUGAAAUUUCAGAGGCUUAUUUCUCUAAAUUCCUGUUUGGUUAGUAAUGGUUACUGCUAAAACUGAGAAUGGUAGAGUGAAAAAAUGGGAUUUGUUAAAGGUGCAAGCUUUGUUCCUGAUCUCCUUGAUGCUUUUAAUGGCCUUUUUCACUUUACCUCACAACAUUCAGAAAAAUGAAAAUCUUCAUUUUUGUUAUGCAGUAUAAAUUUGAAAGUUGAUGGUAUAAGGAAAAAAGAUAAUAUUAACCUUGGUUUGUUGAUCAUUUGGUCAGGUGGUCACAUAAACCCAGCCGUGACAUUUGGUCUCUUCCUAGCAAGGAAGCUCUCCCUGACCAGAGCUGUAUUCUAUAUAGUCAUGCAAACCCUAGGGGCAAUUGCUGGUGCUGGGGUGGUGAAGGGGUUCCAAAAGAACCAGUAUGAGUUGCUGGGAGGUGGAGCUAAUGUGGUGAACCAUGGCUAUACCAAGGGUGACGGCCUUGGUGCUGAGAUUGUUGGCACUUUCGUUCUUGUGUACACUGUUUUCUCUGCCACUGAUGCCAAGAGAAAUGCUAGAGACUCUCAUGUCCCUGUAAGUAUAUCUCACCUUUUCUUUUCUUUCCUGGUUUUUUGAUUACCCACUUGUUUCUACACUGUCCUCUUAUGAUUUUCUGUGACAUGGAUACAAUUUUAUACCUGUCUACUUAUAUUCUCAUUGCAAUGCUAUAGUACUGGGCAUAAUCCCCAUUGGAGUGAGAUUAUUGUAAAACUAACCAUUUUGAUACCCUUAGCCACUGUUAAUUUUAAAGUCUUAUUUGGUUGAAAGUUCAAUGCAGGUUUACUCAUUUGCACUGAAUUUUUAGUAUAACAGUGUUUUCUAUUUAACGCUAAUGUCAUUUGCACUGAAUUUUUAGUAGAACAGUAAGUGUUUUCUAUUUAAAGCUAAUGUCAUAAGCCUGAUGAAUCUGACUUUCUUAUGGAUUAAACUUUCAGUGCACUCAUAAUCUUCAUCAUUACUUUCAAUCGAAGUCCUUUUUUGAAAGUUCUAUGCAAGUUGACCCUCUUUUGCACUAAAUUUUUAGUCAAGUGGGUUUCUAUUUAAAACUAAUGAGUGUGGUUCAUGAAUCUGACCUCCUUAUGGAUUUGUGGGGGUGCGAAUAGUGGUUGGUGUGACACCAUUCACACUCCCCAAUUGUGGGAGUACUUGGGGUCACAAACUGUUAAGAUUCCAAAAAAAUCAGAUAGUGAAAAUCUUCUUUCUUGAGAUUUUUACUAUAUACAUAUUGAUCAACUAGUAUCGUAUCCACACCUCCUCAAUCUAGUGAUUUCUUGAGUUUGAUUUUAUGUUGCAUAAUGAAAUUCUUGCAUGAAGUUGCAAGUGGUACAAUUUUUGGCCGCUGAAUACUAAACCACCUUCCCUGUACGAAUUAAAAUGCAGAUCUUGGCUCCACUUCCCAUCGGGUUUGCAGUGUUCUUGGUGCACUUGGCAACCAUCCCCAUCACUGGAACCGGCAUCAACCCCGCUAGGAGCCUUGGGGCUGCCAUCAUCUACAACAAGGACCGUGCAUGGGAUGAUCAUGUGAGUAAAACUGUUAAACAUCAUUUGAAGUCACAUCUAAACGUGUGGUUGAGAUUAUAUGUGUCUUAAACCUGGGAUGUUUUGUUGUGUUUCAGUGGAUCUUCUGGGUGGGACCAUUCAUCGGAGCUGCACUUGCCGCCCUCUACCAUCAGAUAAUCAUCAGAGCCAUCCCAUUCAAGACCAGGGAUUGAGAAGUUGUCUUGUGUCUCGCCAUUCAGCCUUGUGUCAUAGGCCUCAACGAUUAUAUUAUCUCUUUCACUAUGUUCAGAUGUUGAAACUGGAAUAUUUGGGGUGUUAUUGUGCAUAAGUUAUUUGCCUUGUUACAUUAAUGGAGAGCCUUAUUUAAUUUAUACUUGUCAUUGUGGUAAUCUUUGUUGCAUUAAUUAGUCUGCACCAAGUUCAUCUCUUUGAUACCGUACGUUUUAGCCGGGGUGGUCACUGGCACAGCAUGAAUCAAUAUUCAAUAAGCAAACUAGCUAGGGUGGCUGACCAGAAAAAAGUAAAAAAAAAAGAAAAAAAGAAAAAGGGCUGGCUAGCUUGAAGUUUGUAUGUUUCCUGAUUUGUAAGGUGUUGAACAACCCUGGAAUUAGUCACUGUAAACUCGCCUUUUAAUGGUUUAAUCAUCAAAAUAAGAUAGUAGAUCAUGGAAAAUAAUAAAAACACAGAAGGUUAACCUGUAAUCUGACACAAUGACAUACUAUUUCAAGUUCCAACUACAAGAACAAUUCAAAAGAAGAUAGGGACAUGCUCUUAAAUAACACUAUUACGGUAACAAAGUUAACAAGAACAAUUUAAAAGAUAGGGAAAUGCUCUCAAGUAACACUAAAACCGAUCCAUUAUAUCGGUGCUCUCAAUUUAAAAGAUGUAAAACAUUUAGGAGGGUAUAUCCAAUUCAUACUUAUAAAGAUUUUUUUUAAGUGAGUGACUUUCAUAGAGAUGACAAAUUCUUAAAUACUUUCAUAGAGUUGAUAAAAGUCACUAGUAAAUUGGCAAUACUUUUGCUCUUAACAAUUAGCCUUAAAAGUAUAGAAAAGUCAUUCAUUUAAUAAGCUUUUUAAAAGUUAUUAACUUUUUGGAUAUCACCAAACUUUUAAAUAUUUUUUAAAAGUCAUAACUGAAUACCACCAAACUUUUAAAUACUUUUUAAAAGUCACAAUUGAAUACCACUUGACUUUUAUAUACUCUUUAAAAGUCUAAAUUGAAUACCUCCAGACUUUUAAACUCUAUAAAAGUCAUUAAAAGUUUGAAUUGGAUACACCCCCCUUAAAAUACCAGAAAAUGCUUUGGUUAAUGUAAAUAUUAAGAAUUGAAAUUAUUAAUUAAAUGAGGAUAAUAUGGUAAAUUAACACUUUUUCAUAUUAAAAAAAAAUUAAAAGAAAAUUCAGAUAAUGGAUCAUAUUUUUAUGGAACACAACUACCUAUUAUCUUUUUUAAUAAAUUUUAAUUUUUUUUAAAAAAGGCCUCUCACAGGCGCAGAAGCGCUUGCAGAGAGGCUAGUUAUAUUAUACUACUCAGAAAAUCAUGGUGUCAGCCAUGCAUGAUCGACAAAAGACAGAAAAGACCAAAGAGAGCAAAAAUUGGCCCAAUUAUCUGAAAAUGGAUUUAUUUGGAAGGAAAAAAAAAGGAGGGGAAAUUCAGAACAAAUGUUAGAAGGGGUGAAGAAAGGAUGAGAAAAAGUAUAUAGAAAAUAAACAAAAAAUUAAAAGAGUUUUUCAUUUUCCUAUCUCUCAUGCCCUUUCUUUAAUUAAAAAGGAAAAAUAAUGUGGGCCUUUCAAAUUUUCUGAUAUUCAGCUGACCCACGCCCAAACUCCAAACUCCACCUUCAACUUUAGCCUACUGAGUCGUUUCCAACUAUUCUCGUUCAUAUUUCUCCAUCUCUCAGCCUCACGCCACCACUAGCAAGGUAAUAGCAACUCCUCCUUCGACAGCCUUUCAAAUUCACUGUCUCGGUUUUCUAAUAACGUAAUUAUAUGUUUCUGUCAUUUGGUUUCAUUCUUCCUGAUGCAUAUUCAAUUCUCGGAAAUGUACCUUGCUUUAUAAUUGUUGAUCUUGUGCUGGGAUGCCUUUCUCUGAUAAGUAAAUUGUACCCAUGUAAAGCUUCCAUUUUUCCUUGAAUUACAGUCUUAAAUUUGUUUCUUUUUAAUCUGCUCGCUCUUAAGAGCAAUUUGGUGAAGUGGGUAGGUACUGUUCUCCUAAAAUUUACUGAAAGAUUUGAACUUUGGAUGUGGGAUUAGAAGGGUUUUGAUUAAAUCUGUCAUCAAUUGAUCAAUUGAUUGUCUGCCAGUAUUUUCUAAAUAAUCUGGAUGAGUAUUGAUGGAUUUUGGAUGGGUUUUUGCUGGUUUUUGUAGUUAGUUUAUCUUUGGAAUAUCUCUCAAGUGGUUUGGUAAUUUUUUUUAAAAAUGAUGAUACCGGGGGUAGUUUAAAUGGGGUUUUAUUAGACAAUGGAAGCCUGUGUGUCGUGGAAUUCCCUUGAUGCUGUAGUAUUGUUAAGUCAUCCAAGUUCCAAAGAUGAAUUCUUGUUUUAAUGUUUCAGUUGUGCUUUUAAUUCAAUCUCCGGUAUUCUUCUGAAGCGUUUGCUUAUAUUAUCACGCAAUCUUCCUCCUUUUUUUUUGUUUUGGCCAACUGAUUCGCAUUGGUACACUUUUGAAUAUUUCUUUUGUUCUAAUACUUGGUUGUUAUCUUGAUUCCAGAAUAUUUUUGUCUUGUCAUUUUCUGAGUUUCUAUCACUAGGAAGAGCUCAUACUUUCUCUUAUAACGGUUUAUGAGAAAUUUUUAUAAAUUGCCUUACAUAAUUUUAUGUACAUGUUAUAGGAAAAGCGCGCCUAUUACAUUAGAGUUUUGUGUUUUUUCUUUCUGUUGUUAUUACAAAUAAUUUUAAUAUGGAAACACCAAACAAAAACCCUAAUCUUCUAAGUCAACCAAACAGCGUAGUGCAUGGCUGAGUUCAUCUACUGCUUUUUAGUUUAUAGGUAGAAAUAAAUCAUAGCUGGAGAACUGAAGGAAGGGAACUAUGUCGUUCAUGAAAGGAGAUUUACUUACAAGAACCAGAAAGCUGGUGAAGGGCCUGGCCAAGGCGGAGCCUGUUUGGCUCAAAGCCAUGGAACGGUUUGUCCCUCUCUUUCUCACCAUUCUGUGAUUCUUGGAAUCAUUUUCUUAUAUUUUUUAUUUAAUUUUUGAAAACAUAAUGUUUUGGGAAUUUCUCAGGGUACCGCCUGUAACAUUUCCUCGGGCAGAUGCAAUUCAGAAAAUCACUCUCCCAGAGGAUGUCUACAUAAAGAAGUUUUUCCAAAAGCAUCCAGAUUCCAAACAUGAGGAUGCCAUCAAGUAUGGUUUAUCUUUGUUUUUUGUUGCAGUACUCGGUGUUCAUGUUCCUCUUCAUUUCAUGUGCUAUCAGUCUCUCAGUGUGUGAGCAAAUGAGUUCUGGUCUCAUUACAAAUGGGGUGUUUUCAUAAUUUAUCCUUGGCAGACAAACGUGAUUAGUAUUUCAGAAUUGAAUAUGUUGUGUGAAUCAGAAAGACAUAUUAACUUGUUAUCAGAAAACACACGACAUAUUAACAUAGCAAUUAUGUUUGAACAGGUUUUCUGCUUUUGAUCCUCCUCCAGCCCGUAUAUUUGGUUUGAGGGUGCUUGAGUUGAAAGAGCAAGGGGUUUCUGAGCAGGAGGCAAUGGCAGUAGCUGAUGUAUGUAUUCACGUUUCCUGUGCCUGAAAUAUAUGCGCUUUCUAAGUUGUUUCUAACUGUUUUUUCAUGUCAUCUUCUAGAUGGAAUACCGUAUGGAGAGAAAAGGAAAGAAAAUGGCAUAUUCUCGCUUGAAGAAAAUUGCACGCCUUCAAGGGAAGAAGCCUCCUCCCAACCCAUAUCCCAGUGCCAUCAAGGAGAUACAAGCUGAGGAAAAGAAGUAUGUUCGCGACCGUUUUUUCAAUCCCAGGAUUAGGCAAAUUUUGAGGAAAUUGCAAGAGGAGCAUGCAGCCGAGAGGCAGGACGGACUCCGAGGGGAAGGAGGUUCCUAGUAACUUGCCAUCCUUUAAUAAUAAUUUUGGUUAGUUAGCCUCCCGAGAUUUGUUAUAUUGACUUUAGCUUUUGAUCAGGUAUUAGACAAGUGUGUUGAAAAGUAUUCUUUUCAAAUAUUUUUCUUUCAUACCCUUUUCUCGAAGGUUAGAGAAAUGCUAUACAUUUGUGAAAUUGGCAUUAUAUGGAGGUUACACUAUGUGCCUAACCGUGCGUGUUCAACUCUUUACCUAACCCCUACUCAACAAUACAUAUUGCAAGCGUUUGGAUUUGGAAGGUUUAACCUCUUGGUUUAGUGGUUUGAUAUGAGUCUACUUUUUCAAGACCCAUUGCUUUCCAAGCCAAUUUGCAGUAUGCAGGUAUACAAUAAAGGACAAUGUAGAACACAUCACUAAUAGUAGCAGUGCUCAUGGCUAGUGAGAAACGCUUGUUACAUAUUAUGAUUGCUAUCACCGUUUCACACAAGUUUUUCUGCAUGGCCAGUAGAUAUUGUGGUUUACAAUGUGUUCAAGAGGUGGGUUCAAUUCAAUCCAACAUCUCUCAUUUAGUGAGAGCUAAUUGGCUAGGCUGGCCGGCAAUGACAUACAGAGUUCAACUAGUAUUUAAUGUGCCUAUUGAAUGUAUGCAUUUCCAGGUAAAAGGCUUCUCAGCCUUCCAUAAACUCUUUUGUCACAGCUUUGAAAGAUUUGACUUGAAAUUUAUUGUAAGGGGGUCCAUUGUAUCCUAUCAACAAAUCUAUCAUUUCACAGACUGAAUCCCCGACAGAAACUACUGUUUUUAACCGUCAUGAUGUCAAACGAAUUUACAGUCGACAAUUGAGCAUGGCGAAUAUGGUGAAAGGAGAACAAACUAACUAAUAAACUUGUGAGAGCUUGUAUGCUUACAUUUUGUUCGUGGACGACUUUCAAUCGUUAACGCAAAGUGAAAUUUACAUGCAUUAACGAGUGUGCAACUGUCGGUUGUUGUGUGCAUUAAUCGGUCUCAAAAGUCAUCUCUGCGGUUGAUUAUGAUUAAGGUGUAGAUGUGAUAACUGUAUUUGAUAUUAAAGGACUAAAAAAAAAAGAAUUGUUUAUAGUCAGAGAACCUGGGUUCUGUCAACAUCUGCCUUAAUCAAUUCCCACCAAGAAAUGCAGCUGAUCGUAAGUUUGUUUCAUGUAUUCAUAGAAUAGAUAGCUAAAUAAUGUUUUCUUAUACUUAAAUCUAAAAUUGGAAAUUUUCUAGGCGACCAAACAAGUCCCAACACUAAUUUCUUGCACGUAAUCUGAAAGUUGAAACACAAAUUUAGAUAAGAUAGCUGCAAUUGUCUAGGCCUACACCAGAUGAAAGUAUGGCCACCAAUAAAAGUAGUGAUAAAGUCAUUUAACUCUUCAAGGCUCCAACUACUCCAACCAACCCCCCAUAGAAAUUAUUAUCUACUUUGCUCGGAAGAUGAUCUAACCUCCAACCAGUCCCCAACGUCCCCUGCCUUCAUGUAUUGAAGUUUUGCUACAAUUUUCUUCACCGCAAAUCAGUCUUGCAAUUUUCAAAUGACAAAGUCUAAGUGAUGGAGAAAAACUUCCUUGUCCUUAUCGGUAUACAAGUAUGUUUUUAUCUUUCUCGUCACGUAAUUACGUCAUGUAAAUGUUUUUCUGAAAAAUCAACCCAGAUAACACAGUCCAAACAUUAAUGCUGCAUAUGUGAUUUAUAUAAGUUAUAACACAACUUUUUUUUUUUCACGUUAAAGAAUGAACCAAAUUAAAUCCAGCCCAAUUAUUCCAAACAUCCAGUCUCAUGGCCAUUUUCUGGUGAGACUGUUUAAUGCUCACUUUGAAUUCGACCUGCUUGGUUUGAACAAUUAAUUCAUCCUUGCAGUCAGCUGUAGGUGAGUUAUUGUAUCGACAAUUGGAAUAAUUACUAAUUACCAUCACUGAAAUGUCUGAUAUAUAAUUGUAUGUUAUUAGAUUGUUACUAUUUAUACCACAUUUACGGUUUAUAUUACCGAUAACCUUUUUAAUAAAGAUAAAUCCUAUAUAUACUAUUAUGCGAGUAUUGCACGUGAUUCAUCUAGCACAUGAAAAAGAUGAAAGCGAUGGGUGUACCAUCUUUUACCCCUACAGAGAUAAUAAACAACUAAUUGGCUGAAUAUCCGUACUUACGAAUUACAGUUUCAUAUUUAUAUUUAUAAAAAAAAAAGUAUUUUUCGUGCGUAUAUAUGUUAAACUGUAAUUUGCACGUAAAAAGAAUCCAAGCAAUGUUUAUUAAAUUAUGCAAAUAAUUAAAUAAAUGGGAAUUUUAUGUAGACCCAUGACCCAUCAAUGUGCAAUAUUCUCAUGCACAUUUUCAACCCCAACCACAUUUCCAGCCAAAACAAGAAAAAUACUUCCCUGCGUUAAUUAAUUUGUAGACCCAGCAAGCAGGGACAUCACGGUAAUUUCAACCCCAACUCCCUCAUUUAAAACCCCCGCCUUCAAUCUCACACCAUCCCUCGCUCAAAAAGCAGACGCAGAGAGAGAGAAAAGAAAGAGAGGCUUCAGUUUCCCAAAAGAUGUCGUCGCAGAAGCAACGGCGGAGCUUCCCGUCCAUUACGGCGUGCGACACAAGCGAAACGGCGUCGUACGAGUCGAUCGCGGCCGACCUCGACGGCACGCUCCUCAUCUCCCGGAGCUCGUUCCCUUACUUCAUGCUCGUCGCCAUUGAAGCCGGCAGUCUCCUCCGAGGCCUCGUCCUCCUCCUCUCCCUCCCUCUCAUCAUCAUCUCCUACUUCUUCUUCUCCGAAGCCCUCGGCAUCCAAAUCCUCAUCUUCAUCUCCUUUUCAGGCCUCAAAAUCCGCGACAUCGAGCUCGCCUCCCGCGCCGUCCUCCCCCGGUACACAAAAAUCAAAUAAAAAGCAAUUUCAUUUGAAAAUAAACAUUUAAAUUUGACAUUUUUUAUUUAAUUUUUUGAAUUGAUCAGGUUUUAUGCCGCGGACGUGAGGGCGGAGAGUUUCGAGGUGUUUGACAAGUGCAAGAGGAAGGUGGUGGUGACUGCGAAUCCGACGGUGAUGGUGGAGCCGUUCGUGAAGGAUUUUUUGGGCGGCGAUAAGGUGCUGGGCACGGAGAUCGAGGUGAACCCCAAGACGAAGAAGGCUACCGGGUUUGUGAAGAAGCCGGGGGUUUUAGUUGGGAAAUUGAAGCGUUUGGCGGUUCUGAAGGAGUUCGGCGACGAAGUUCCGGAUCUUGGGAUUGGAGAUCGGAGCUCCGACCAUGAUUACAUGUCACUUUGCAAGGUCAGUACUAGCACUUCUGCUACUUCACAUUUUUGCUUACUUAUUUCAUUUAUUUUGGUUUUUUUUUUUCCUUUCUAAUUUGUUAUAGUAAAAGCAUGGGACCCACAUAAUUUAACUUCCCCAACUACUUGCCUGCUAAAAUUGUAUGUUGUCCAUUCAAUGGAAUUGUGAAUCUGUGAUGGUAAGGAAAGGAAAUCAUUAAGUCCAUUAUUGUUAAUGCAUAAUUUGGAAAUGCAACCAUUAAAUGAUCAUAACCUACUGCAUCUCCUUUAAACAUUUUAAGCAAGGAAUCUUAUCGUCAAGUCUAAAAAAGAAUAAUAAUAAAACUUAGUUACAAGUAUGCCUAUAUACCAUGUUGAAUUCAUUGCGGAUAAUUAUUCUAAGACAUUUGAAACUUGUUCCAUAAUUAUGAUCAGAUAUCUAUUCAGCAAAUUUAUAAUAAGCUAAUAUGGUUUUUUAAUUCUUUGGCUAAAAAGGAGCAGUUGAAUGAUAAUGCUUAUAUUUGGUUUCAUUAUCUUCAUUUUGAUACGAGCUUUCGUGUUAAGUUUGAUUUGUAUUGUUGUAAGAUCUGUCACGACUGUGUAUUACUUUUUGAGUUUAAAAAAUAUAUUGCAUUUUAAUUAAAUUAUAUCAUAAAUACCAUGUGCUGGUUGGUGGAAUUUAUAUCUGAUUUUAAUUUGAAAUAAGAUUGGCUCCUUUAAUUUAUUCAGCUGUUUCAUGUGAAUUUUUGCUGACUCUGGUGUGGCUAAUCAAAUGUUGGGCAGGAGGGCUACAUGGUGCACCCAAGCAAAUCAGCCCGUCCAGUCUCCAAAAACCGUCUCAAGAGCCAAAUAAUUUUCCAUGAUGGACGCCUAGUGCAGCGCCCGGACCCACUCAACGCCAUCCUAACGUAUCUCUGGCUGCCAUUUGGCUUCAUCCUGUGUAUAAUGCGUGUGUACAUCAACCUCCCUCUCCCCGAGCGCAUCGUAACGUACACCUACGCAAUGCUGGGGAUCAAGCUCGUGAUCCGCGGCAACCGGCCCCCACCGCCCUCUCCCGGUACCCCCGGCAACCUCUACGUGUGCAAUCACCGUACAGCGCUCGACCCGAUCAUCAUCGCCAUUGCGCUCGGACGCAAAGUCUCGUGUGUGUCGUACAGCGUAAGCCGGCUCUCGAGGUUUCUCUCGCCAAUCCCAACCAUUGCUUUGACCCGCGAUCGUGAGGCUGACGCUGCCCGCUUAUCAGCGCUUCUCCAGAAGGGAGACCUCGUGGUGUGCCCUGAGGGCACCACGUGUCGCGAGCCCUUCUUGCUGCGAUUCAGUGCUCUGUUCGCAGAGAUGAGCGAUAGGAUCGUUCCCGUGGCGGUCAACUGCAAGCAGAACAUGUUCUACGGGACCACGGUGCGCGGGGUCAAGUUCUGGGACCCGUAUUUCUUCUUCAUGAACCCGAGGCCCACUUACGAGGCGACGUUUCUGGACCGGUUGCCGAGCGACAUGUCGUGCAAGGCUGGGAAGUCGGCGAUUGAGGUGGCGAAUUAUGUGCAGAAGGUGUUGGGCGAUGUGCUGGGGUUUGAGCGCACGGGAUUGACGAGGAAGGACAAGUAUUUGUUGCUGGGAGGGAAUGAUGGCAAGGUGGAGUCUAUGUACAAUGCAAAGAAGUGAAGGUGCGUGAUGUGGGAGGGUAUUUUGGUCAUUUGCAGUGAUAGGAGAAGAGAUAAUGUGUUCAGAAGGGUAUAUUGGUCUAAGUAUAGAGAAGUUUUAUGUGAAUUUGGAUAAUGUGAUUGAUUAAGUCUCCAUCCAUAUGAAGUUGUUUCUUGUUGUUAUGUUAAUCUAUUAUAAUAUUUAAUAUUUAUAUUCCUCCGGGCUGUUUUAUUUUACGUUGGAGAGAAAAUAUUGGUCCAGUAUUCGGGAUAUCCACAGGAGGAGGACUUAGAUCGAGAAUCCCAAGCCACUAGUAUGCCUCGAAACCAGUUUGAUGUUCCUGCUGGUAUCUCAACAGGUUGUGGGAUAAGCUUAGCCUCUCUUGGGCUGUUGUUUCCUCGGCGUGGUGAAGCCGUUGCUCGCUCGACCAUAAGUUUCCUGCCAACUUUGGAAAGCCUUAGCUUGGUUAUCCAUUUUUUCUAGCAUAUGGAUCAUUAGCUGUUCCAAUGAUGGUUGUUUAGGCUGUGCUGCCUGAACAUCUUCAACUUCAAUUUCAUCAGCAGCAGCAGCAUUGGUUUCGUUGGAAAGAUUCAUUGGUGGGGGAGAACUGUCUUUCAAAUAGAGUUUCCUGCGAGUUUUAUUGACCAUACAAGAUUAGUCCCACUAGGCAUGCUAGAAAUAUGAUAGUCGGGUUUUUGAACAUUGUGAUGCCCCUGGCAGCUAGCAGGCUGUACUUUAGCAACUAUCGGCUUUGCUUGCGUGUCAAGGAAAUGGAUUAAAAGAGACCUGGGCCUGAGAUGGGCUCAGAGACUAUUCCUUGGGGGAUUGCGAUAGACUUGCCACUACUAGUGAUACUCUUCUAGUAGAAAGUGUUUAUGCUGUGGAUGUAUUGCGUUCUUGUGAUCUUUUCUUUUAAUCAAAGCUACUGUGCUCUAAAGAGGGGAAUUUGGCUUUAAAUAGGUUCUUUUCUAUGCCUCAAUGAAGACGACUUUCAUAUCUCAAUUAUGAUGGAAUAAAACGCAUGAUGGAUGGUGGUUUAACCCGUCAUCGGGCAGAGAAUUCAAUAACAGCUUUUUGUAUAUAAACUGUCCGAUGGACAUAGUACAUUAGUACAUUUACCAGUAACCAAAUACGUGCUCAAAAAGACUGAAAUGAACUUAAGUGCAAUAAAAUAGGGUCCAACAGAAAAGUAUGAAUCAAAAGAGAAGAGCAUAGAAAAGCAUAAACGAAAUCAAACAAGAAUGUUCCAUCGACAUAUCAUAGUUUUUGCAUCACAUAUAGCAAUCAUCAUUGAGCAUAUGAUUUAAUAUGAUAGUCCAAGAAAGUACUUUCUCAUAUUCUUUUGUUUAUGAUUUGGCGGUUUUCUAGUUCACAUUUGAAUGAAGAACAAACCAUUUAAAACCUUUGUUAAUUAAGUGAGAGUGUAUCAUCUGCAUUUAUUCUCAACAGACCAGAAAAUAGCUGUAACUACAUUACAUUCAGCUCAUACAGAUUUUCGAAGAUUUUGGUUGUGUUCCGACAAGGAAUGAGAGAGAGAAAGACGGGGCGACUGGGGUGCUGGGUUGGUUGAGUAGGAGGUUGGGUUUUGGGUGGCGCGUGGUGGCUGUUGUGGCUUUUCCGUCUGGGGUGGGAAGGUUCUCGCCGUUGUGGUCGAACAUGUCGUGGCAUUUGACGACUUUGGGGUUGUCGACAUCGUGGAAGAUUUCGAUCUCGCUGCAGAUUUGGUUGUCGACCCGGUUCCUUGUAGACGAUGCUUUCGGUUCCGAUCCGAGUCGAAAACCGUGACCCACCUUCUCACCUCUGAGAAGCAACGGAUAGACAAGGUGAUGGGGUUAGGCUACCAGGGAUUAACUUGAAUCUUCAGCUAUUCAUCACUUUUUCUUAUUUUUAGGACUCAAAAUGUUGUCCACUGAUCACAUUCACAAAUUCAUUUGUCAUGUAUAAAAAUUGAUUUCCACGAGUCUUCUUGUGCAUUAAUCCCAAAAUGAAUGAACUUCUUAUAUUCAUACCCAACAAAAAAUAAAAAAUAAAAGAAGAAAAAUGCGAUUACCUGAUAUUAAGACCUUCAAAAUUUAGUCAAUUAUUGAAGUCUCAAUUCAAUUUAUGGGCACUUGCAUCUUGAAAAUUAGUGGGCACUUGCGUCUUAAGUUCUAGAAGUAGCAGAUGAAUGAUAUAUGCAGUCCUCUUUUUUCAUGUUUUGUGUUGAAUAAAUUCAUGUGUGAAUAUGUGAAACAUGUUACAAAGUGACACACUUAUAUUUUGCAUUAUAAAAUCCCAAUUCUUUUUUCUCAAAGUUGUGCUUUUGGUGGAAACAAAGAGUCCAAGUCUUUAAAGUCAAGUCAUCAAUACUUACACUACGACAUAAUAAUUAAAAAUUAUUAUGUUGAUUUUGAAUUAAGACCCAUGUUCUGAUUUUGAUUUGGAUUUUAAAAAAAAUUUAAUAUGAAAAAAAAACUAAUUUACUAUAUUAUUCUUAUUUAUUGAAAAAUUUAAUUGCUUAAUAAAUUCUUUAAUCAAGGAAAAUUUUUAGUAUUUUGAAUGUUUCACUAUUAUCUAUCUUUGCCAUUUUCUAGAUAUGUCGAUAAAUAUGAUCAAUUCAUUUUAAGGGGGCACUUUCCUUUGAUAGAAUUUUCAAGUCAAAAUCUCAUUGAAAAUUUGAAAAGCACAAAUUACAUAAUAAAGCAUUUAGUCCUCAAUUCAAAUAUGAUACAUUCGUAACACUCGUGUUGACAUUGAUUUAAUGCGAGGGUGACAUGUCUUAUUUACAUGGGCGUUGUAUGUACAUUUCAGUUUCAUUCAUGGCUAGUCGAACCUAUUAUUCAUUGAAGCAUCGAUGAUGGAAAACAGAAGCCAGCUGAUUCUGGCCUUUGAUAAUUCUAACUUCAUUUAUCCAUGGUAGACAUUGGGGGUGUACUCAUAUUUCUCUAGUUUAUUUAAAAUUUAGUUUGAAAUUUAGCAAUCUUGAUUUCAAUUUACCAUUCAUGGUUUCAAUUCACUUUCUUCUGUAAAUUUGGUUUGAAAUUUUCUCGUUGGACCAUGUGACAUGUUUUGUUAUCGACACUUCCCCUAGUUUCUUUUUCAUCUCCCCAAUUCACCUUUUCGCAUUUUCAUGUGUUUUAUAAAAUUUCGGCUACCGACAGAGAAAAGAUCAAGCCACUUUUCCUAAUACUUAUCAUUCUUUGUUGUUCUAGGAAAGCAAACAGCAAACAGCAAACAGCAAACAGGGUUGAAAACAGAGGCAUGCACACCAUGCGUAGACAAAAAGUCGGUGUUACAUUACAAUGGCUCACUAUCAUCAGCUGUUGUUGGAAGGCAAAUCACCAUCUCAAGUCCAAGUCAAUUACAUGCAUACUAUUCUUCGUAAGACUUUGUUAUUUUUCCCCCUAUAUCUUUGACAUUAUAUUGCAUUCAUAAACGCUAAAUAGUUGUGCCUCUUGAUUGAAUCGUGUUGAUCUCGCAUUUGAAUCUAUUAACAUGCAGGGUCAUGGGAUGUGCUUGAAACUCUUACUUGCAUUUGCGCUGCUUUUGCUGCAGUGCGUCGACGGAGGAGAAGUUAGUCGCAAGCACAGGGAUGCUAACGUGACUGGGAGGUGCAUAGAGAAGGAAAGGCAAGCACUCCUUGCAUUCAAACGUGGCCUGGUGGAUAAGUUCGAUGUCCUCUCUUCAUGGGGUUCAGAAGCUCAGAAACAAGAUUGUUGCAGAUGGAUAGGAGUCUCUUGUAGCAACCAAACAGGUCAUGUUCUUCAACUUGACCUUUCAUACAAAGUUGUGGGCGCACAUUCAUGGAAUUAUUCUUUAUUGGAAGGUAAGAUGAUUAGUCCUAAACUGAUUGAGUUGCAGUAUUUACACCAUUUGGACCUUCAUGAGAUUAAUUUCAAUGGGAGCCAUAUUCCAGAUUUCAUCGGUUCUCUAUCCAAUUUAAGAUACCUUGAUCUGUCUUAUACUAAUUUUGGAGGCAAGUUUCCAAGUCAGGUCGGAAAUCUGACAAACUUGCAGCAUCUGGACUUGAGAUUUAAUGACUUUAUAAAUGCAGAAAAUCUCGAUUGGCUUCCACUUCUUUCGUCAUUAAGAUAUUUGGACUUGAGUGGCACGAAUCUUAACAAUGUUUUCGAUUGGCCGGAAGCCAUUAAUAAGCUUCCUGAACUAACAAACUUGACACUAUGGGAGUGCGAUCUUCCUUCUCCAAUUCUUUCCCCUCUUUCUUACAUAAACUCUUCUAAAUCUCUUGCUAGCGUUGACCUUCUUGGGAACCAUUUGAGUACUUCUUCAAUAUUUCUAUGGUUGUCCAACUAUAGUACCAGCCUUGUUUAUCUUGACCUCUCUAAUAACCUUCUAGAAUCUAGUCGGUUCAGUUCCUGAUGUUUUGGGAAACAUGAGCUCUCUAGCACAUCUUAAGCUCUUGAACAACCAACUUGAAGGAGGGGAUCCGCAUUCUUUUUCCAGAUUAUGUAGUUUGCAAAUAUUGGAUCUUGCAACGAAUCGUCUAAAUGUGAGUGGACAACUUGCUAAGUUUGUUCAAAUAUUGUUCUCUACAUGUGCUCAAAAUUCAUUGGAGAUUUUGGAUCUCUCUUGGAAUGGUAUUGCAGGGUCAUUACCUGAUCUUACAAAGCUUUCAUCUUUGGCAGCCUUGCUUCUAAAUAACAAUAAAUUCAGCGGAGUAAUUUCAGGAACUCAUUUCUCAAAACUCUCCAAAUUACAGGUUUUGGAUUUCUCUUGGAAUGAUCUUGCAGGGUCAUUACCUGAUCUUACAAACCUUUCAUCUUUGGAAAUCUUGCUUCUUUAUAACAAUCAAUUAAGCAGAGGGAUACCUGAAAGUAUAGGGCGAAUGUCGAAGCUCAAAAUUAUUGAUUUUCACAUGAAAUUCUUUGGAGUGAUUUCAGAAACUCAUUUCUCAACACUCUCCAAAUUACAGUAUUUGGAUCUGUCUUCUCAAAACUCUUCUAACUCACUAGUUUUAGACAUCCAUGCUGAUUGGAUUCCUCCUUUCCAACUGUAUUCCAUAAAUUUGGGGUCUUGCAAGAUGGGUCUGCAUUUCCCAAAGUGGCUUCAAACUCAAAAACAAAUCAAAUACCUUGAUAUUUCUGAUGCUGGAAUUUCCGACAUCCUUCCAAGUUGGUUUUGGAGUUUGUGUCGCAAUGUGGAAUUUAUGAAUCUCACAGGCAACCAAAUUAGAGGUUCAUUUGCAAAUUUGACAUUGGAAUUUUCAUAUUCCCCUGAACUACAUCUGAGUUCUAACAAGUUGGAAGGUCCAAUCCCCUCAGUUCUAUCAACAGCCUCAUAUCUGGAUCUCUCUCAUAAUAAACUUUCAGGGUCAAUUUCGUUCUUGUGUUCAAGUGCAGCUAUUGGUUUAAGCUUUCUUGACCUCUCAAGAAAUAAUGUUUCUAGAGAAGUUCCAGAUUGCUUGACACAUUUGGAAAAUCUAGUGAUGCUAGAUUUGAGUUACAAUGCUUUGUCCGGGAAAAUUCCUACAACAAUAGGCUCCGUAUUUCGGAUUGAAACACUCAAAUUGAGAAGCAAUAGAUUUGUGGGACAAUUGCCUUUGUCGUUGAAGAAUUGCACGAGUUUAGUACUCGUUGAUGUUGGGGACAAUAAAUUAUCCAGACCCAUACCUAAAUGGUUAGGGGUUAGCUUAAGGAACUUGGUUAUCCUGAUGCUUUCGUCUAAUCACUUCAAUGGAAGCUUGCCUGCACAAAUAUGCCAUCUAACAGAUAUUCAAAUUUUGGAUUUUUCCAUGAACAACAUCUCUGGAAGCAUACCCAAGUGCCUCAACAAUUUAACUACUCUGGUUCAGAAAGGAAAAUCAAGUCUGGAAAUCACACAUUUUUUGGAACAUUCAAAUGGUACAACUACCUAUGAGGAUGAUGCAACAUUCAUAUGGAAAGGAAGAAUGUACUCAUAUAAAAACACUUUGGGGCUUGUGAAGAGAAUUGAUUUGUCAAGCAAUAUAUUAACAGGGGAGAUUCCAAGUGAAAUCACUCAUCUUGUUGGGUUGGUUUCUUUAAACCUGUCGGAAAACCAAUUAACAGGUCAAAUCAUUCCAGAGAUUGGAAACUUGCAGUCACUAGAGGCCCUUGAUCUGUCAAGGAACCAGAUAGAAGGAAGAAUUCCAACAAGCCUUGCUCGAAUUGAUCGUCUCGAUUUCUUGGACUUGUCAUUUAACAACUUAUCUGGCGGAAUUCCAAUCGGGACUCAGCUCCAAAGCUUUGAUCCCUCUGUUUAUGCUGGAAAUCCUCAACUCUGUGGAGCUCCACUUAAAAAGAUGUGUGCUGCUCAACAUGUGCAAACUGACUUGAGCAAUCAAGAGGAUGAUAAGGAUGAGAUUAUAACACUGGGAUUUUACAUCAGUAUGGGGGUUGGGUUUGCAGCUGGAUUUUGGGGAGUUUGCUGCACUUUGAUAUUCAAGAGGUCAUAGAGAUACGCAUACUUCAAGUUCCUGAAUGGUUUAAAUGAUUGGCUUUAUGUGAGAGUAGCUUUGAUCAAGCGGCAACUCAAGGAUAUGCUGAAUAGAUAAGCUGUAAGUACAUGAAUUCUUCUGUUUUUAAACAACAAAACAUAUGGAGUUAAGCUAUUUUUGUUUAAAUUGGUUUUCAUCAAAACUUAUGGGUGCUUGUUUGCUUGUAUCUUUAGCUCCAGCAUCUUCGGAGUCGGAGGCAACCUCCAUGCGUCAGUUGACUUGAAGAGUGCAUAGUUGCCAUGGAAGCAAUGAUAUAUCUGCACAAGUUUUCAAGUAUUGGUUUAAAUGAUUGGCUUUGUUUGAGGAUUUGUUACUGUAUCUUUGUUUGUAAGCAAUUAUGUAGUGGGAAUUUUCCUUGGUAAAUGAUUUGUUACUGUGUCUUGUUUGUAAGCAAUUAUAAAGAGGACGUCUCCAAACAAUUGUUUCCCAAGAAUUUUAUUUUCUGCAGAAAGCCAAUUAUGAAUUGGUAUCCUCUGUUUUUCAUCAGAAAGAAUACACCAGGAAUCUUUUAUGUAUUAUGUACACAAAUUACAAGCUUUUUUCCUCCCAGUGUAGUUUACAUCAUUUUUUUUUUCCAUUUUUCUAGAGUAAUUCAUAUACUGGAAAUAUUUAAUGGACAAGAAAUCAAAUCAAAUCAAAGAAUUCAAAUACAACAUAUCUCGCUGAAAAAUGACCAAAAUCUUAAUAUCAUGGAACUAAGUGAAGUUUUGACUUUCGUGGUUCGAAACCUUAUGAGCAACAUUCUAUAUGUGCUGAGAGCCAAACUGAGAAGUGUCAAAUUCAGUACCAAAUCCUUGGGGAGCGUUCGUUUGAUAUCCUAUUCAAGUAUGAAACUCAAAAAAUUUUAUUUUUCUUAAAAACUAGGAAUUCGGGCUCGUUUUACCUUUGGGCCUGCCCUAUUACAUGGGACCUACCAAUUGCCCCGGCAACUGAAGCCAACUGGAACCCGCUCCUGGGGCUUGGGCCCCCUCCUGUCCGAGUAGUUUGAACCGCUGGAAGUGCUCUCAGAGACGUACCCAAACGUGGUCGUUCCAUUUUGGGUAUUAUUUGUAUUACGGAGCCAAAGGGCCCAAGAGCUUCGUCGUUUUGAUCACAACGUUUCUGGAGGUAAAGAGCAACAAAAAGGAAGAAUUCUCGUUAGUGAGAGAGUGAAGACUGAGCGAUGUACUUGAAGAAGCCUCUAUGGAGUGAGGGAACGACAACACCGAAGGCCUCGGCGGAAUCCGAUUCAAACCCUCCCGCGACCGCCGUCAGCGAUUUGGUCAACUCGUUGACCACCCAGAGAGUGUACCGCGAGGUCACCCUCGCGCUCCGGAGCGGCCUGCGCGACGUUCGCGCCGAGUUCUCUUUCCUCCGAGUCCGCGGCCUCCGCAGCCUCCUCAAGUUCCUCCGAUCAGUCGCCGAGUCCGAUUCCACCAUCAACCUCUUCUCUCAGACCCAAUCGCUCCCUGAGCUUCAAGGUAAUUCGAAAUCAGAAAUUUCAAUUUUUGCUUUCAUUUCCUGAUAAAUUGAUUUUGAUUUGUAUGAAAAUGGUGAACAGUGGUGCCGGUUCUGUUUCAAAACUCGCUGAAAGAUGCGGAGGAUGAGAUCGUGCGAAAUUUGGAUCACAUUUUCGGGGUCGAGCCUCUGAAGAUCACGAGCCCUUCAAGCGACUCUGAGGUUUCGCUUGCGCUUCGAGUUUUGGAGGGCUGUUGUCUGCUUCAUCCAGAUAGCGCGGUCUUGGCUCAUCAGCACAAGGCCAUUCAGGUAGGUACCCAUGUAGCUAAAAGCUCAAUCAAAAUCUACGGAGUAGUUAUGAAUUUCAGAUAUGAAAGUUUGUUGUUUUUGUUUUUAUAAUUGGGCUUGUGUAGGUGUUGAUGAAUAUACUGCCAACUCGAGGGGUGAUUGAGCAAAGCGCUUGCUUGGAUGCUUUGAUUGCAAUAAUGUUGGAUUCAUCAGCUAAUCAAAUGGUGGGUUCAAGCUUCAAUCUCAUUGUGCUUGGUUUCUGAUUGGUGAUGGGAUUUUACAAUUUCAUUGUUUUUGUGUAAUGUUCAGGAUUUUGAAGCGUUUCAUGGUAUUGAGGAAGUUGCAGAGCUCAUUAGAGACAAGCAAGUUGAUGAGAACCUCAGGUUUUUGUUCAAUUUAUGCUGAUUGAUUGAUUGGUUUCUUAUGUUAACCUCCGUUAUUGCAUAAAAUCUAACAUUAUAUGUUGAGAUGGUGCCUUCACUGCCCUGAGUUGUGGUUUGAAGCUUUAUCUACUUAGUGUGGUUUUUCGAAGGGUGAAUUCUGGGAAAUGAGUAGUUUCAUUGAUAAAUUGUAAGGUAAAUGUAAAAGUUUGUGCAACAAUAGGUUUAUGGUAGCCACAUGAUUGCUGUCUGUGCUACUUGGUUCUUCCAAAUCCUUGCGUCUUUAUCAUUGGCAGUUCCAUUUUUCGGCUUGUGCAUCAGACGAGUCUUGAUAAAAAUCCCAUGUUUUCUUUUAUUCUAGGCUUAGUUGAGCUAUGUCCUGUUGCUCAUUUUCAUUUUCGUAAAAUGUGUAAUGAGGUCUUCUUCGAGAAAUGAGUUAAGAGUCAGGGUUUCUGAAUAUUCGUCUGCCUAGGCUGAGGUCUUUUCUUUGCUAAUCUAAUGGACACUGAAGGCCAACAUCUUUUGCUUCUGAUUAGGUUGAAAUGUGGAGAGUUCUUGCUACUGCUAAUUGGGCAUGUAAAUGGGAGGGACAGGCCUCCCUUGGCAACUGUACAUGAAGACAUAAGGAGGCUUUUAGGUGAGAAAUCUGCUUCCUUGAUAUGGGCAGCCAGUCAGUUUGGUUCAACUCUUGAUCCGGAGCAGAGACUAACCGCACUUCACAUCCAAGCUCGUCGCGUGAUAGAGUCCUUGGACCUGUACUGAAUCUGAACAUAGAAACUAGAAAGCACCCUAGGCAAUUUUCCUUUGUUUUUCAAUGAAAUCACAAUCUGUAGCCGUAUUUUUGUCCAUUUGCCUGUUUGUAUGUCGUUCUUUGUUUGCAACGGCUGAUGUUCAAGAAAUUGAGUUAAGAAACUGUGUUCAUAUAUUUUGAACAACAUAGAGCAACAAUCUUGUUGUAGUUAUAAACCAUUUUCAUGUGCAUAAUCAUAGUAUUCGAAGUUGAAUAAAUCUCGACGAAUUUCUUCUCUGUAUUUGCCGGAAUUGCAUCCGGGGCGCUUUUGAAAUCCAAUUAGGUUGUAGUGGUGUUACCGUGACACACAAAAACAAUUGUCUUUCAUCUUAACCAUGACGUCGACAGUCUUAGCAUCACUAAUAAGAGGAGGUGAGAUUAUUUUAUGACAUGUGACGUUCGCGUACGAAUAUUCCACGUUGGCCACAAAUUAUGCGGAGUGUAAUUUACACAGAAAUAAACGCGAUAAAAUAACAAAAUAUUACAAUUUUAAAAGAAAAGAAAAACAAAAAAAUUUGUUUCGUUAAAAUCAAAUAGCAACUUUUGCGGUUUAAACCAAGGGCCAGAUUUCUGAAAAUUUCCGAAAUUACCCAUACUCUCGCUCUUUAAUUAUCCUUUCACCCAUCUAAAAGCAACCGAAUAUCCGACUUGCAUGGAGGGGCAUUUGGAUAACUUUGACCUUUUCCCCUCCCUUCACAAGGAUGAUACGCCACGUGUCAGCCUCUCGACCCAUCUUCCUUCGAGUAUAACGCCCACUCAGAUUCUUCCCGCUUGUUUAAAUAAUAAUAAAAAUAGAAAAAUAGAAAAAAGCAAAAAAUCUGGAAGCAAUGUUUGUUUGAGAAAAAAAAGGCCUCUGGUUAUCCUCUCAAGCUCGAGAGAGUGAAAACGACUGAGAAGCAACGAGGCACACACAGAGAGCGUGAAAACACUGUCGUUUCACUCCCUGUCUUUCAGCUUUUUGGUUGCUGGACCCUGAAUUCUGAAAUGGUGUGAGAGCUUGUUGAGCUGAAACAGUUAAUUGUUUGAGCUUAGCUUCAAUCAGUAGAUACAGAGCAAAAUGGCUAUGGGCGGUUUGAUCUCGAACCGGAAUUUCGGUUCUUUUAUCGACUCAGGUACUGUUGCUUCACUAACUUAUCCUGAUGUUUUUGUUCUUAUUAGUUUUUGGUAUUUUGAUUUUGGUUGCAUUUUGUGAAUUGUAGCUUCUCAAUGGAAUUCAUGCAUGCAUGUGGUUUGAAUUUGAUUAUUUUAUUUCCGAAUUUCCAUUUUUGUGAGCUGAACGAAUUUGUUUAUUUGGUUGCAUGUUGCUUCUUCUGCUUUGCAUUAUCUGUACAUAAUCUGGUUAUGUUGGUAAAUUUUCGGCAGCAAAUUGUUGAUUUUGCUGCUGAAUUUUUCAGGGAAUGUAGUAAAUUAAGCCAAGUCUAUCUUUAAUUCAACAAUUCACCAAUCAGUGAUAAAUUUCAGUGCAUGUAAACUUUCCCAACCUAAAUAUACUGGUUCCUUGUUUCACAGACGUAUGUAUAUAUGUAUGAGUAUAUGUACUGAGCAAUUUUGGGAAUGCUUUUAUCUUUCUGAGUUCAUGAAGGACUUGCUUAAUUCGGCCGAAGAAAUUUAGACAAUUUAUAUGUCGAAUUGGAAAUAGAUGGAGGGAUGGACAAUUUGGGAAUGCUGAUCAACAUAGCUUACUAUCUUCAUUUUGAUGCUUCUGAGGCGAAUCCUUUGUUACUAUCUGUAACUCUUUGAUAUUGGCAGGGAAAGUAUGUCAAACAAACCACGCUGUUGUGCAUCGCAAAGGAGAGCGUCUGUACAAUCAGGGGAAAACAUUUUACCAAAAUUUAUGUACUCCAAGGGGUUCUGUAUCUAGAAACUCGUAUAGCCCUUAUCUGCAUGCAAUUAGUUCUUCAGAUGCAAACAUUCUGAAGCCAACAGGUAGGGUGCAUGAUGAAGGUGACCUUUAUCUCAUAAUGUCUCUGCAAUCUGGUAUAAGGUCUCACAGCAUCAUCACUAAACAAAGAAGUACAGGAAGAUGUAAAAGCUAUCUUUCUUCAAACCAUUCAUUUAGAAGUUGUAUUCAAUCAAGAAAGCUGGAUAAGCUUGAUAACAGGCAAUACCAGAAGUAUGAACAUGUUAAGGUUAACAGGACCCGUGCUUAUUACAAGUCAGAGGAUAAUGACAUAACAAAACCAGAGGUGGACUCACUGUCAUCAAUAGAGGGGUCUAGUGAAGCUGUUUUGGCAGAUGGAAAUGUGCUUAAACUAUCUUCUUGGUGGGAGCAAUUUCCCAAGCGCUGGGUGAUUGUACUCCUUUGUUUUACAGCAUUUCUAUUGUGCAACAUGGAUCGUGUGAGUAUUUUUCUAUUUAUAAUCAUUGUUUUUAUUUCCCAUUGGCCUAAGCAUUGCAAACUUGAAAUUUAUGUUCUAUUUUUUUCGUUUGUUCAUCUGAUAUAUCUCAAUCAGCUAAUAAUGUUCAAUUUUUAUUGUAGGUAAACAUGAGCAUUGCAAUACUUCCCAUGUCACAGGAAUUUAACUGGGAUAGUGCAACAGUUGGCUUGAUUCAGUCCUCUUUUUUCUGGGGCUACCUACUUACUCAGGUUUGACUCAGUAUAGCUAAUGUGUUUUUCCUUACUCAAAUAAAUUACACUUUCAUUCUCAAUCUUCUAUGCGCACAUUAGCAGGUAUGUGAUCAUGGAUCUGUCCUUGUAUCGUUUAGAGGAUACUGUUUCAUUCAUAGUAGUUAGCUCGGCCAUAUAUUUGGUGUUCAAGCUACAAAUCUGAUGUAUGCAUAUAUCUCUUUUCCUAUCCAGAUGAUGUUAGAAAUUCCACGCUCAAUUCUCCUGUCUGAUUGUAAUAGUUUUAUGAUUUCUCUUGCAUAUAGAUUCUUGGAGGCAUAUGGGCAGAUAAAAUUGGUGGGAAGCGUGUAUUGGGUUUCGGAGUGGUCUGGUGGUCAGUAGCGACAAUUUUGACACCUAUUGCAGCAAAAAUCAGCCUUCCUUUUUUGCUUAUUAUGCGCGCUUUUAUGGGGAUUGGUGAGGUUUGUCUUUUCAAAUGCUUUGCUUUGGAUCUCUGGUCAUUUACUAUUCUGCAUUUGAAUAUAAAUCAGAAACUCUCCUAGUGUACCUUUUUGCUUAGGAAUUGACUUGGCUAACUUUACAACUGAAACACCGUGCAAAGAGCAGAAACAAGACAGGAGCAAAUAAUUAACCUAAAAACUACAUUGGUUUUGAUAGCCCCUAAAAAUUGAAAAAGAAUGAGGAGCUUGUAUUUGCAUGGCAGGUUCAUUGGUUAGGAGGAAUUGUCUCAAUGCACUUUUGUGGCUUAGCACAUACAAAUUUAUCUUAGCUUCCUAAGUUUUUUCGCAUUUGAGAUCUAUCGUAUAUCAGCUUCCUUCCUGAAAUAGGAAUUGACAAUCCAAUUAAGGAUUCUCAUUGCUGAACAAAUUUCCCUUUUUCUUUCCACAGGGUGUUGCUAUGCCUGCAAUGAAUAAUAUACUAUCUAAGUGGAUUCCAGUGUCAGAGAGAAGCAGAGCACUUUCACUAGUGUAUAGUGGCAUGUAUCUUGGUUCUGUCACUGGGUUGGCUUUUUCUCCUAUUCUGAUCCAGAAGUUUAAAUGGCCAUCCGUGUUUUACUCAUUUGGCUCUCUUGGUAGUAUCUGGUUUGCAUUAUGGCUGAAAAAAGUAUGCUCUUGCUUCCUUAGUUUUUUCAUUGGAAAUCGUUGCAUUACCUUGUCUACUUUUGAUUAGGUAGGAUAGACUAUGUAAAGAGAAGAAAAUGAAUAUAUCUACAUAUCUUUAGUAUGUAUUCUGGUUUGGGCUGUGCAAUAUUCAAUAACGCACUCAUUUGCAAAAAGAAAAAAAAAAGAAAAAAGAAAAAAGAAAAAAGAAAAUCAAUGAUAUUUGAUUCUAGGUCAAUGUAAUUUUAACUCAGGAUUGUAUUUGAUGAAAGUUUGUUAACUAGACUUGUUUUGAAGGCUUUGGGUGUGAUAUUCUUAUGUCCUUUUCAUUUCCGGGAUUGUGUGAAUGAACUACUACUGAAUGUUCAAUUUAAAGUAAAAAUAUAGGGCAUUAUCCUUAAUAAGGUCACUUGUCUUGUGAACAUAUGUAAUGUUUUACACCAGUGGUUUCUCAUGUCCAUCCGUCUUAGUGACUCUUCAGACACCACAAAAAUAUAAUCUUAUAUAGACAUGACGUGUAUGGAAAAUACGAAUGAACAGAUUGAAGCUGCACUUCAGAUGCUGUUCCAUAAACAUUAACUGUAAAAGCCCUUUCUUGCAUGUUGAAUCCCCAGGCAUAUAGCUCACCAAAAGAAGAUCCGGAGCUUAGCACAGGGGAAAAAGAACUUAUCAUGGGUGGCAACAUAUCUAAGGAACCUGUUACCGUCAUUCCUUGGAAGCUAAUUUUAUCAAAACCACCUGUUUGGGCUCUUAUAAUCUGCCACUUUUGCCAUAAUUGGGGAACCUUUAUUCUAUUGACAUGGAUGCCUACAUACUACAAUCAGGUAAGGAAUUGAUUUCUCCAAAAAUGAGCCACAUGCCCACAACACAACACCCCCUUACAUAUCUCUGUGCAAUCUUUGGAUUCAGAAACUUCAAGUACUGUCUCACAUGAAAUCCUACUUUUUCUACUAUCCUUGUGCAAUUCAACAAUUUUAACCAGAAGAAGAUUAAUUUUUAAUCUUGCAUAUUCAGGUUUUGAAGUUCAACCUCACUGAAUCGGGACUCUUCUGUGUCUUGCCAUGGUUGACCAUGGCUGUUUUUGCAAAUAUAGGAGGCUGGAUUGCAGAUACACUUGUCAGCAGAGGUCUUUCUGUGACAACAGUUCGCAAGGCAAGGACUAUUACUGCUUGAAGCAUUGAAUGUGGUUUAGGUGCCGACUUGCCAGUUUUACUUUUUCUAAUGAUUUCCUCCAAAUCUGUUUGUUGUUGCAGAUCAUGCAAUCAAUUGGGUUUUUGGGACCGGCCUUUUUUCUUUCUCAGCUGAGCCGUGUCAAGACACCUGCAAUGGCAGUACUAUGCAUGGCAUGCAGUCAGGUAAAAACUACUUGUUAUUACUUUGACUGAGCUUGAAUAUAUUUCCAAUGCUUCUAAAAUGUGUUGUUUGGUAAGUAUUACUUGUAGGGUUAUCUGUUCAUACGCUCUUGCUUAUUCACAGGGAUCUGAUGCAUUCUCACAAUCUGGUCUCUACUCCAAUCAUCAAGACAUUGGACCUCGCUAUUCUGUGAGUUGCUAUAUUCUGAACAUAUGGCUAGUUGAUGAACUAUAUAUACCAUUUUCUAUAAUCAAUUCCUAAUCUGUCAUUUUAUAAGGUUAUUUGUGCUUUCAACUCUUUUACCAACAACAUACCUGAAGAAGUAAUCAAAUUAUCUGAACCCUGUGCAAUCAAACUUAUAAUACAAUUACAGGGAGUAUUGCUGGGACUGUCAAACACAGCAGGAGUUCUUGCUGGUGUCUUUGGUACAGCUGCAACCGGGUACAUACUCCAAAGAGGUACAAUUAAUACUUCAAUUAAAUCAUUCUCUUCUGCAGUUUUCAGUUUCCGGUUUCCAGUUUUGUAUUGACUUCUUAAACUUCAAUUUUCAGUUUCCAGUGUUGACUUCCCAUACUUUAAUAUCUGCAGGUUCUUGGGAUGAUGUAUUCAAGGUGGCUGUUGCAUUGUACCUCGUAGGCACAUUAAUCUGGAACCUAUUUUCAACCGGAGAGAAAAUCCUCGAUUAGAGAAAUGCAAGAAUGGGAAGGAAUGAAAGCUAUGACGACAUGGAAGAAAUGCGAACGCAUGAAAGGGAAAUCGGGCUGAGCAAACUAGUUUUUAAGAUAUCACCAUCAAUGUUUUUGUAACGACUUCUGAGGCCCUCUCUGGGUUGGCUGGAGACCCCCCUUUUUACAGGUUAAUAAUGCCUUUAGUUUCAGUGUAUGGCUCUAAUGUAGAGAACCUAUGGGUAAUUUGCACCCCAUGAACCUUUUGCUUUGCCCAUGCAAUGCUAAUAGCAUCUCAUCCACCUAAGUUCUUUCUUACUGGAUUUCUCCACAGUAACAUUGCUUCUCGCAUUCCACCGUAUGUACAGCGCCGAUUACGGCGCUUGUGUGUGAUCAGAUUUUCUUUCAAACUUUAGAUUUGUGUAGCUCAGGUGAUGUAGAUUCUAGCUAUAAUUGUUUUCCUAAUAACUCAAAUAUUAAUUAUCAGAAAGAAACAGAAUUAAGAACAAAAAUUCUGUUAUGCAAUAUAAGUAGGACUAGGCAUUUCCAUUCAUCAUCUUCUGACAAUAAAAACCUGUUUACAACCCAUGCAUUAUCUCCAUUGGAGAUAAGACUAAUCCCCACCCCACCCCACCCCUCUGAACUUGCAGAAAUUUUUAUUGACCUUAUCUACAUGAAGCAAGAGGCAAAAAAAAAAAAAAAAAGAUAAAAAAAAAGAUAAUAACAUUAUAUUGGGCAAAAUCCAUGAAGCAAGAAGCAGAGAAAGCUACAAGGUUGAGAUGAACCUGGCACAAAAUCUUUUCCAAAUGAAUAGUAAUAAAUAUGGAUAAAUGUAAAAUUAUGAAAUUUGAACAUACAAGAACAUAAAGAAUCUUAAUGUAAAAUAAAAUUUUGCAAGCUCCUUUUCUUUCUUUGUUUUUUUUUAAUGUUUUUUUAAUUAUGUUUUUUGCCUACAAGGGGGAAGCUAGAUGCUCUCUCUCUCUCUCUCUCUCUCUCUCUCUCUAAGCUGAUGUAUUUGUGAGAGAGACUGUACCCCCAUGUGUAGUGGAAAAGACCAAUUUGCUGCUUGUGACCCAAAACAUUAACAAAACAUUUAAUUGAGCCACAUGAUCUUUGCUUUCCAAUUCCCCCAUCUAUGCUCCGAGUCUUCAUCUUCAUGGGUUCCACCACUCCAUAAAUAACACCACAUUCACAACACAGCCUACCCUCAACACCCAAAAUUAAAACCCUCAUCCUCUUAAGCCCCCCAACUACCGCUUCGCCAUUAACGCCGUGACAUUUAACCCCAACACAACUCUUGCCCCUGCAACUUUGCCUCAAUGUCCUUCUUUGCCCUUGCUACAAUUGCCCCUAAUUCCCUAGGGUGCACAUUCACCAUGAGUCCAUGCUUCAUGAACAAUGUCAAUGACAUCUUCUGCUCCACCUUGUGGCCUGGCACCAGCGUCAACCGGUGCCGGAGCAGCACUGACGCUACUACCGACUUCAUUUGCAAGUAUGCCAAGUCCUUCCCUAGACAUAUUCUUGGACCAGCAUUGAAUGCUACAUAUUUAUUUGAGUCAUGCAUUAUGAACUUCUUACCAUCUAAAGAUAACCACCUCUCUGGUCGAAACUCUAGGCAAUCGUCCCCCCAUGUGGACUUCAUCCGCCCCGUUGCAUAUAUUGAGUAGGUCACCGAUGAUCCGGCGGGCACGAAUGUCCCGUCGGGCAAAAUGUCAUCGCGCACAACAUGUUUUGAGUCCUCAGGCACGGAAGGGUACAACCUAAGGCUUUCGGACAAUGCUGCCUUCAAGUAUAUCAAUCGGUCAAUUUCCUCAAACUCCAAAGGCUCCUCCAACCAACUCACCACAUCAUCACCACGUGUCUCGAUCAGAACGGUGCAGAUUUCGUGCAAGAUUUUCUCUUCGAUUAUUGGGUUCAGAGUGACCAACCAAAAGAACCAGCUCAGCGCAACUGAUGACGUGUCGCGUCCAGCUAGGAUGAAAUUGAGUGCCACGUGUUGGAGAAAAGUAUCUGAAUAGUUCUCCUUUUUCUUCAUAAACCUUGACAACAGAUCAUCAUGUGGGUUUCCAUCCUUCUGCUGAUUCAGCAACUCGAGCUUACGGGAAGCAAUCACAUCGGAUAAAUACUCCUCAAUGUGCACAAGGCUUCGGCUCAGCGUGACUUCCAUUCCAAGCCCAAGCCACUUCUUCAGCUUCCACAGCACUUCGGGCAAAAUAAAACGCUGUAGCGAGGCUUCUGUGGCUCGGUCGAAAGCCGAGGCGAAGCCGUUGUCCGGAAACCCCGGCGCGCAAGUCUUCGGGUCCUUCCCGAAAGUCAAGCCGCAUAUGUUGUCGAAAGUGAGCCGAAGCAACAAGUCUUGAAGAUCAACCGGCUUGGAUUCAAGCUCAGCCGAUUGAAGAAUUGGGCAGAACCUCAGCUUGAUGGAUCGGCUGACCCACCGAGCCAUGGCUUGGCGGAGCGUCCGGGUUGUGAAUUCCAAUGCGGCCGUCUUCCUCUGAAACAGCCACGUGUCGCCAUCUGAAUUGAAGAUGCCUUCGCCCAAAAGAUCAUGAAACACGGAUUGCCAAGUGGGGCCCUUGGGGUAAUUGUCGAACCGGGUUUUCAGUAUAUGCUCCAGAUUCUUCGGGUCGCACGUGACGGUCACGAGGCCCUGCUUUCUGGCGAGGAAGGGGAUGGCGCAGAUGCAUGUUUGAUACGUGCCGCCGCAGGCGCGUAGGUUGUCGCAGAUCCAGUCGUGCAAGCGGUCGGAAUUUUCUAUGAGGCCCGGGAGGCUUCCCAAUAAGGGCCAGACACCUGGACCCUUCAGGGACCGUGAGAUGAAGGUGAACCAAAGUAAAUAAGCUGUGAUGGCCGUCAAAACCAGCAAGGCCGUACCAAUCUCCAUCUUACUUGUUUGCCACGUAUUGACCAAAUCGCCCAAAACCCAAAAAGAAUGCAAUGCAACAACCACACUCAAUCUCACUGAGCCAGCUACCAGCAAGCAAACCCGAAACCUGUUUUUCCUGGAAAGUAUUUUCCCGAGAAAAUGUUUUCUGGGAAAGUACUUUUCUUGUAAAGAAGUGGGAAGAAGUUACUAUAAAACGUACGUCAUAGGAAUAUGGGUCUGAAAUGUGAGAAAUAGAUGAAAAGAAGGAAAACCCAGGUUGUGUUUUUCAUGCAUAUAUAUGAAAUGUUUGAGGGAUUGAUUGAGAAAAGGAGAGAGCUUUACUGGAUCUGAAAAAUAUGGAAGGUUAACUGUAAGGUGGUGCUUCUCAAGUAGAAGAACAAGAGAGGAGUAAAUAAUUGAUGAAGCAGAGAGAUGGAGGAGUGACUGAUAUGAAGUGGAGUGGUGUGUUAAUUGAGAGAGGGAUUUAUAGGUGAGAAUUGUAUUGAGAAGCAAUUAUUAAGGCCAGACUGGUCCUUGAAAUUGCUCUCUAUCUCUCUCUGUCUGUCGCUCUGUUUCUUUUUUUGUUUUCUCUCACUAAAAUUAAGCUUCACAGCAGCACAGCAGGCGCCAUAAAUGUCUUCAGAGGUCGUUGAACUUUUUAAAGCUUGCCCGAAACCUCUUUCUCUCUCUCCCUUUCUAGAGCUCUUUUUCCACAAAAACCACUGGCUCUAGCAAAUUAAGAUGAUCUGCUUUCUCUCUCUCUCUCAUCUGCAACUCUUACACCUAAUUUUACUGGAAAUGGAAGAGGCGAUUUAAUUCAAGAGCAUUGAAUGAAGAGGAAAUUUAAUGAGAUUAGUUGAGGAACUAUAUAUAAAGCAAGUAGAGAAACCCCAAAAAGAAAAAAACACAAAUAAAAAACAAUGAUAAUUAUAUUGGAAAAAAAGAAGAAAGAAAAAUGGGUCACCCACAUACACACAUACACAGUGUCUGUUUUAAUUGGAUCAAUUGUGGGUUGUUUAUGAUCAUUAUCUUAACCCUAAUAAGCCCCCUUCCCCUUUUUCUUUCUUUCUUUCUUUCUUUAUAAGUUAUACCUUUAAGUAUUAAAAUUAAAUGAAAAUUGGGUUCUUCAUGUGGUUCUUUUUGGUUAGGGUUGGGUGAGCAACCCACCCACAAUUCAAGACCCUUUUUGCUUCUCUUUCCUUUCCUUUGCUUUGCUUUGCUUGUGUGACUCUUUUUUCUUAGCUAGUAAAAACAAUUCUGGGAUUCUUCACAGGUUUGACCCUCUCACUUUUAAUGCAUUAUAAUCAAUGAAAUUAUCAAAAAAUGCGCGCCUCUCUGCCUGUAACGUGAAAAAAGUCAAAACCCCAUAUACAAUAUCUAUCUAUAUAUAUACUGUUCACCUGAAUGCUGGUAUGGCCUAAAUUUUUGCACAUUGGCAGGCUGCAGACGCUUCAUCAGGAUUCGUAUGAAACCUGGCAUUGAAAUUGAAGAGCUUUGACAAAUUUGGGAUAACGCUAUCUCGUCAAACUGUGAAUCUAAACUGUUAAUUCUCAUCACAUUCUAGCAACGUAAGUAUUUAUUCGAUAAAUACAUAAAGUCUAAUAAGAAAACAUAACGCUAACGAAUGAAUUUAUAACAUCCACGAAUGAGAACGUGAUUGUGAAUAAGCCCCUACGUGAGAUCCCAUGUGAUGAUGGAAAUGAGUUCGUGAGAGUGCCUAACAAUUGUUGAACCAUUCCACGGUUUAGGUGUGCUUGGCUAAGCACCAUCUCUGUCGGUGUCAUCAAAUUAAUCACAUCAUGUGCAUCUGACAAGGCUUCAUUCAUUCUAUAAUAAUGUGAUUAUCAUUAUUAUUGGAUGAAAUUAUAUAAGUUUCAUUCAUUCUAAUUUCUAUAUUAGUGCUAAGAUAAGCCAAUCCAAUUUAUGUAAUUACCUGGAUAAUAUUACAUAUGUUUGGGUGGAUCCUAUCAUUCUUAGGCUAGUUAACUUUAGGUUUUCUUUGACAAGAAAAAAAACAUAAAAAGCUUUAGGUUUUCUUAUCCGACUUAUUUAUUAAUCGAGCUCGAUCUUAAAUUUAAGAUUAGAAACCUGUUAUGUUUUGAUUAAUCAUCGUUCAUAUCAUUUUUAAAAUAAACCUAGAAGGCAGCAAAUCAAGGGAAACAAAAAACCAAUUUGACUCUAGGAGAAUCAACAAAUGGGAAAGAAAACAAAAACAUAAUAUUUUUAGCAGAAUUCCGUUUAAAUAAGUUUGUUAUCAAUUCAUUUAUAAUUCGUGUUAGCGAGUCAUGUCAUUUGGUGUUGGAUCAUGCUGCGUUAAAAAAUUAUAGAGAUAUUUAUUCAAAAAUUCUUUUUUGUUUUUGUUUUGGAAUAGAUGCUUUAUUAAAAAAUAAUAAGCACCAUAAGAGUGUACAAAGAUAGCACUGAAAUAGCCAAUAUUUUUUUUUUUGGGGUAAAUAUCACAAGGUGUCCCUACACCUGAAAGGUGGGAUUAAUCCCCGCUCGAAAUUUGGCUAUUCAAAACCCAACAUUACUACAAAAUUGAGCAAAAGCCACGAACUCAAGAGCACAAAUACAUGUAUGGUGCCCUCAUCUUUAACAUUGAGCACUAAUAAAUUUUAUUCAUCCUCCUUGCAUAAAACACAAAUAAUUAUGUCAAAUUAAUUUACGUAAAACACAAAUUUAUACUGGACACGAAGAAUUGUGUCAAACGUCAAUUGAAUAUAAAUAAUAAGUAUCAUCUAACAAGUUUGUUCAUAAAAGAUAAAAUUAUUUAUUUGUAUAGACUAAAUAGUUGUGUCUUUAUCUGACAUACGUAACACCUUAUAACACAAAACUACAUUUGUGCACAAUUAUUUUCAUGUAGUGUACCUUUUCUCUUCCAAUUUAUUAAAGAAAAAUAAAGAGAGAGGGAAAAAUACUUAUGUUUUAUUAUUAUUAUUUUACUAGCCCCUUGACACAUGCUCACGCAUGUGCCAAUUGGUUUUCUUUUUCUUUUUUAUUUUAUUUUUAGAAUUAAUAAAAGAUAACAGUGUAGUUAUGUUCCAUAAAAGUAGGACCUAUUAUCUUAUUUUGUUUUUAAUUUUAAUUUUUUUAAUAUUAAAAAAUGUGAAUUUACCAUAUUAUCCUCAUUUAAUUAAUAAUUUCAAUUCUUAAUGUUUGAAUUAACAAAGGGUAUUUUCUGGUAUUUUGAAUGUUUCACCAUUCUCUGCCUUUUGCUUUAUAUAUAUAGAUAAUAGUUUUAAAAAAACACAUGGAUCUUUUCCAACCCCUAGAAAAUAUCUAACCCUCCCCUUCUAUUCUCUCUUCCCCACCUAAAGGUUGGAGUCAAGUCCAGUAAAGUUGUUACCUUUUCUAAACCUACUUUCUUUCUUUCUUUCUUUAUUAUAAAUAUUUCUGGGUUUAUGGUUUGCUGCAGUUUUUUGAUGAGCAAGAUAAUUUGCUCACACGCACACAAAGAUACAUAAUUUCAUAUGGUUCAUGUUGUUGUGAGCAAUUAAUUAUCAAACAUUUUUUGGGUUUCAGCUAAAGUUGGGCUUUGUGUCAUUGAUUUGUGUUUAAGAUGUGAACUGGUGAUAUUUGCUGGUGGUGGUGGACAACCAUUCCAGAUCCUCAAGACCACCGGAGACGACAACAUUGUCCUCAAGAGGAUGUGAACUGGUGAUAAUUGUGUCUGUACAUAUGUCUAAUCAAUUGAUAAAGUCACUGAGGUAAUUUGUCGGAAUACAAGCACAAAUACUAUUUUUCGUGCUUUACAUUGUCACACACGAAUUUUUCUUUCGUGCCCUAUAGUAAUGGAAACUCCUAUAGACAACACCAUCAGCCUAAUAGUGGUUGCACCAUGACCUUUGAACAUAGAGCAUAAAUAUUUGUGUCUUUUGUAUCUAAUAAGAGCACAAAUGAAAAUGGUGCUGAAACCCAAAUAUUCAAAUCGAAAUGGUAUACGAUCUCACUCUUAUAUCAUUUCGAUUUGAAUAAAAUGUUUAAGCCCAAAGAAAAAGAAAAAGAAUGCAACCGAUCGUCAUGAUUCACAAUCGAGGGUUAUAUGAACAUAAACGUACUUUCUUUCUCCAUUGUUGGGUAAGCCUUUUCUUGAAAGGAAAAAAAAAAACCAACCCCAUGCAUGCCAACGUCGUCAACACCAUCAGACCCAUUUCUAUGGUUUUUUCUGAGAAAUUGAGAGGGAAAUUGUGCGGUAAAGCUGAUCUGCAAAAGUGAAAUUAGAAGCAAGAAUCUUCUAAUAGUGAUUGAGAGAAGUUUCUUUUGUCUGUACAUGUCUGAUUUUGCUUUGCCUGUUUUGCUAGUUGAGAAUCUUUUGCUUUAACCUGUUUGUUCUGGCAGAUCUUGACAAGCUUACUCUUGAGAUUCACUAUGGAGGUACAUUGAUGCAAGUUGCUGUCGGAAAAGGGUAGGCUCUAGCCUAAUGCAAGGUUUGGCAAAAAAAUAAACUUAAUAUUAAUUCCAAGCAUUAAUACCUCAUUUCACAAAAAUUAGCAAGCAAAAAUUAUUUUAUCUUAUCCAUACAUAUCUCUAGUUACCCAUAUCACAAAUAUUUCAAGUUUCAAGCUUUCUCCUUUCAGAAAAUGAAUGGAAUUUUAUUUAGAUAUUUACUUACAUAACAAGUUCAUUCCUAUAAAAAUUUCUAAUUUCACCAUUGCGUCUAACAACCCACCAUAUCUCAAAUUCAAAGAUGCAUACAUUGAGUUGGAAAAAACAAAAGAAAGGUUAUCAUGAACAUUUGUGACGUUUAUGAAACUAUGAGUUAUACUCGUUUAUCUUUUUCGUGAUCAUUCUUCAAGUUAAUUCACACAUUAAUUUUGUCCAUGUUGCUAAAAUCCGUUAAAUUGUUUUAAGGUCUUAUAGAGUUGAUUAAUUUGGUUCAACAUACCGACGUUUUGCAAAAGUGGGAGCUAUGAACCGGACUGGUUCAUCCGAUUGAGUCUGGUUAUACUAAAAAAAUAGACUAAUUUAUUGACGUGAAUCGUAACAUACGGGUCAAAAUUUAAUAAAAAAAUCUACAAGAAAAAAGAAAAGAAAAAUAACAUUAGAAAGAACUACUUCAAUCUCGUAGUAGUGUCAAUUCUAUUUAAAUGGGUGGGAAGCUCAGUGAACGUGUUGAUUAAGUUUAGGAGGGUCCAUUUGUUGAGACCAAAAGUUGGUAAGCAUGUAUCCCAAUUGGGGGUUUAAAGUUUAUAUUCCUAUGACAGGUUUUAGAAUAUAUUAUGCACCAAAAUAUUAUAGUGGCAAUAACCCAAGUUUUCUUUUCAUGUUUGCAUUUUUUUUGGCACAAGCAUGUUUGCAUUGAGGGUGUUAAAAAAGAGAGUAGAAUCCAGCCGAGGCGCGUGAGCACCUGGGUUGUAAUAUUUUUUUUAAAAUAAAAUGUAUAGCAUUGAGCAUAAUUUACAUAUGUCUAAUCAAUUGAUAAAAUCACUAAAGUAACUUGUCAAAAUACAAGCACAAAUAUUGUUUUUUGUACUUUAUAUUGUCUGACACGAAUUUUUCUUUCGGGUCCUAUAGCACUGAAACUCUUAUGGACAACACAGUCAGCCUAAUUGUGGUUGCACCAUGGACUUGGAACAUAGAGCAUAAUUAUGAGUCUUUUGCAGCUAAGAGCACAAACAAAAACGGUGUUGAAACCCAAAUAUUCUAAUAGUGUAACAAAUGCGUGAUCUUUAAAAAAUAAUUCGCGUCUAAACAAUUCAAGGGGAAAAAAAAGAGAAGAAAAAAUAGGAAGCCUAUACAUCCCUUCAAUAGGCACAUCAACAAAACAUCAGCAACACCAGAAACUUGCAACCAAAAGAGCAUUGACAGCAUCAACAUGGAUCUGAAACAGAAGAAAAACAAAAGAAAUAUAAGUAGAAAAAAACAAAAGACACUUGGGCUAAAGCCAAAAUCAAGGCUCAUUACACAAUAAAUCAAAUGAAGGAAUUCUAAGAAAGAAAAGCUACUCCUUGAGCUAAAGAAGGAUGUGGCUGUGAAAGCCGACAACUCGAACACAAUUGCAAAAUUCAACAACGAGAUCUACAAUAUGCUACAGCCACCAGAUGAAAGAGAGAAACAAACAAGGAGGAAAAUAUAUUAUACAAAAACUCAGAUAAAGCCUAUUUGGAUAGAAAAACCCAAAACUAACCACUUGUCAUUUUCUAAUUGGUUCUUAGUGUGUUAAAAUUUUACAUUAUGCUAAAAUGAAUUUAUUAGUAAAAUCCUCAAAAUUAUAUGUACCACGUCUAAUAUACAUUGGUAAUUAUUGUACGACUUUUUUGAGAACUAAUUUUGAAAUGAAUGGCAUAAUUAACACUCAAACGAGUAAAUUAAGCGAAGGUGGAUCUUUUUAUUGGUAUCCUUUGGACUAGAGAAGAAGACAAAGAAAGGGAAUGAAUUUACAACUCAAAACAUUAUGUACACCGACAGUUUGUGCACAAAAUUACAUUCUAUUGAUAUAUUUUUUUUCUCUCUCAUCACCUCAUGGUGCACAUUGCAUGAGAAAAAUCAUGAGGAUAAUGUUUUUUCUCACCGACAGCUUGUACACAAAUUACAUAAUUGGAUGCAUGCAAUCACUAUGAACAUUACCAUCCAGUCACAUUCUUUAUAUGUAUAGAAUUAACCCCAUGACCCAUAAUAUAAUCUGUAAGAUGACUGCAUGCAGAACUUGUAGCAAAUUCCAAAUCUUGAGUUGACUCAUUCUAAUUGCUAUAAGAAGCUGUGUUUUUUCCUUUUUGGAUACAAACGAUAUUGCCCAAGGUGGAAGCGAAAGCAAAACCUUGAAUGUACAGGUAAAUACUAUUAUCAUUUAAGGGUGUUUGUGAGAAUUAAUUCAAGUUCGUGCAUUUGUAUAAGUGGAAAAAAUAAGAACAGUGUAACUGAUCAAAUUUUGGAUCCCAAACUUAUUUGAUGCGAACCUCUUUGUUUUCGUUUUUCUAGAGGCUGUAUCACAUCACAAUCAUCAUGCUAAUUAAGGAAAACAGAGCAUUACCCCAAAAACAAACAUGCAGACAAGUUUGUUUUGCUAUCACUAUAUCAAAUAUAUAAAAAACUACUUCAGAGACCCAUCUCAUCCGAAACCCAUCUAAUCCACAUCUGACAAAGCUUUUAUUUGUUGAACUAAUGACAUCCCCAAUUUUAUAUAUAAAAUACAAACGGUUUACAAUAACAGAAAUUUUGGAGUGAAUGGCUUGGAUUGAGACAUUCCACAAGAAAGCCUAUAGUUCCCCAUUUGUUUAGAUGGAGAUUUUGGCACCUACUAGGUUAAAAUUAAGUAGUUCAACCAAAAAAGGAAACAAAUUAAGUCCAACAUGAUAUAGGUUGGGUAGCUACGAAAUUAAACGACAAUGUUUUUCAAGCACCUCAGCAUCAAAUCAAGAUCUCUAUUCUUUGUGAUAUCAAAUCCUGGGACUUGCCAAACCUCUCAUAGUUGGUAGUUUACAGAUGCAGAUCAGGCGGCUCCUAUCAAUUCCACAUAUUGCAUUAUGAAGCAAAAUGUUCAAAACCCAAAUAAAAUUAGGUCUCCAACUGUCCAUUGAUGACCAAGAAAUAUACAUGUGGAUGAUCCAACUCCCAUGCUGGACCAUUAAGUAUAGCCCUCUGGGGACCCCAUUAAAACUAAAGUCAACGUUCUGAGUCUCACAUUUCUACCAUUUCAACCACAUAUAGCAUUUAUCCACACAAAAAGAGGUCAUAUGGCAUCAAACGAGUCAUUGCUCUAAAUUGCAUUUAAGAUGGGAUUUCAGGCCAGCUGAGACAUUGGCAAGUCCUCCCACCACAUUGCUGUCACAUUCAACAAAUCAAAAUUGCAGAUAAAAUAAUCUCAAGAUUGAACAGCACAGACUAGUUUGGAGAGCCAGUGAGUCACCUUGCAUACAGCAACCAUACACUGUUCUGUGACGGGCAUCUCUUGCAGCUGUGAGAAAUUGCCCCCAACAACUAUUUUAUGUAAUGCAGCCAUGUGAUAAAACAGAGUGAGGUUUACCCCAGUUCGUUCCUGCCCUUCUCUGCAAAUAGCACUUACAAUACAUCUAACCAAACCUAAAGAGAGAAUCAAUUCGGGCGUAACUUAGCAAAAAGGAAGCAAAACUCAAUAAACGAUUCCCGAAUUGCGAUAGACGCGUACACUGCAUAACAAACGGCAUUUACUUGAGAGUAUCUAAAAAAAGAAUAGUUACCAAUGGCAUUUUAAGUGUUUACACUAGAUUUGAACAUCGAACAAGUUCUGUGCCCUGGGACUUACUAGACUAUUGACAAGGUUUGGUUAAGGUCUCUGGUUAACUACAAUUGUUAGAUAGCAGGCCUGCAGAAACUUGAUACCAAGAUACUGUCAGAAACUUCCAGAAACUGUUCAAAUUGCUAGAGUACUGAAGACAUUUUUCUUAUCCAGCUCCUUUAAUGGUGCAAUCCCCAUCUAUCACAAAACCGCAACAAUCAGUUGUAUCCACUCAAUACCAGUCAUUUGAAGUUGCUCAACAAAUAUGAGGAUCAGAGAAUUUGGAGUAAUGGUUUAACAUGGUAGAGGCUAUGUUAGUUGAAAACCAGAGGCAAUCUGACCCUGCUUGAGAAUUUUCUUCAUCCUUGAGAACGAAUUGGCAACCAUAUCACAAAUACCUCACCAAAAAAGCAAACUAUCUGUAUAUAUACUUUGAGAGAGGAAACUUAAUGCUCCUUGCUACCUGUAAUCCAUGUAUAAACAAGAUGUUAUAUUUCCAAAAGAAUUCCUUAAUCUCACACGACAUAAAAUUUUAGUAUAAUUUCAAUUCGAGAAAAGUGUAAGGUUACCUUCAGAACCAUAUCUUCACUCACUGUAGAUCGAUAUCGAGUUGAGCCCUCUAGUGGGCAGCUUCCACCAGUGACAAUAAAAUUAGCACUGCAGAGACUGGACAGUUGUAAGAGAACAUCAGACAUGAGCCCACCAUUCCCAUUUCGAAUGCCUAACCCAUCAUAUCCUUCUUCCUCCUCAUCAAGAGAACCUUCCCCUACAGAUGUAAUACACUGAAAUAUGGCUAAUAACCUCUCCAUUGGAAAUGUUCCAGGAUUCAGAAGUAAUUCCUGUUCUGCAGUUUCCUUCUGUUCCAUUGACUUCUCGGAGGCCCUAGUCAUGAAGAAACAUUAUUAAGAGGAAAUCAGUGUUUAUAAGUGUUUAUAAGUGGUGCAUUGCAGCAUACCAACAAGUGAAAGAAACGCAAAAGGUGCAAAGGUAGUCAAUUGGCAAAUCUUAAUAAGAUCUUUCAGAGAUUUUGUUUGAAGACAAUUUGUAAAGAGAAUCUUAAGAAUUUCCCAACACUCCAGUGCGAAAGUGCAGUAAAACAGUAUUCGUAAUUGAUGUCAGAAAUUUUAAUUACAGGUCGUUCCAAACAACAUAAUAGAAAGAGCAACUCAAGUAUUCGUUAUUAAUAUAGUGAGGUGAAGGUAAAACAGAAGCAGGUGUUUGGACAUAUAGUUAUCUUCAUUCUUAAGAAAAUACUUAAGUUUUAGCUUGGUUUCCUGCGGGAAUUUGGAAUUUCAGAUCUUAUAUUGACAAUAUUAAUGCGGUAUUAACUUUUAUGAGAGCAUGGAAUACAAAGCUAGAGUUUGUAUCCCACUUCAGUGCUGGAUCAUAGCCCGAAUUUCGCCAACUAAACCUACAGAGUAUAAACUACAUUAAAACAAGAAUUAAACAAGAAUUAUUCUUGAUAUACACUUACUUCCUCCUUCGUUUGCGACUAUUAGAACCUCCUGUGGAAUCGAACAAUGAUGCAUCAAGGGUAGCCGGGUUUCUUGAAGCAAGGAAUGCUGAAAUAAGGAGAUACUUGGCAGAAGUAGGCAUAUGGAAAUCUAGUUGAUCAUCCUCGCAAUCUCCAAAUUUCCUUGUGCUGCCCUUUCCUUUUGUCUCCCUAACUUCAACUUCAGUGGAUGGAUGAGAUGAAACCUUAAAUAUCUCAUUCAGUGAAGGAGCAACAUGGGGCCGAAAAUAAUGAAACAGCCUUUGGUUCAACUCUUUAUUGGGAACAACACCCAGAUUGGUUACAGGCUCACAAUAUUUUGUGAAUAAUAGUGAAAAGGCAGGAGACAAUUCAUCCACCCGUCUGGUAAUUCUACAGAAAGGCCUUAGCACGACACUAACAGAAAGAAAAGGGAAUUCAUCAAUAUAAACACAAAAGGCAAAACAUGAGUGCAGAGAAAAAAGACUAACUACUAUUCUUACCUGAGAAAAGAUGCAUAAAGCUUUUUGUUUGCUUGGUUUCUCAAGAAGAUUUGCUGAAGAUCAUCUUGAGUAUAAUCAGGAAGAUAUAUAGGGAUAGGCUCCACAUAACUCAUACUUGAGUAAUAUGUAUCCGGUGAGGCACUGCUAAUAAAGAUAAGAGCGACCUCAGGCAUUUUCAGAAUGUCAUAGAGAUUAAAUAGUAAAGGCAAUAUGGUAGAACCUUUUUCCCAUCCUCUGACACGCUCCAAAUUGUCAAAUAUCAAGUAGAUCAUAUUUCCAUUAGCCUUUCCGGACCUUUUGGAGCUUAAUUUCCCCGAGUUUCCCUCAAGAUUAGCAAGAACGCUAACCAAGGCUUCGCGAAGAAAAUUAACAAAAUCAGAUGGGCUUUCACAGCGCUUUGCACUUGAAUAACCAUUUACUGCAUUCUUUCGGUGAAGAAACAGUUGAUUCAAAACAGACUCGAACAAGAUUCGGGGAUUAUAACAGCUAAGGCAGCUUGAAUAAACAAAAGGACGUUUAAGAUGCCUAAAUGUCUCCAGUACCAUACUAGUUUUCCCGGUAGAAGUGCCUCCAUAUACAAAGAUAGGAAGCAUGGGAGAGUUCCGUGGACCCAAAAGUUGUAGAAGCUCGUGGAUCUGAUUACGUCUACCAGGAAAACUAGACAACAGAUCAUCCAAGCUAAAGGAUUCUCUUUCUUCUCCAAGCACAAGGUCACUGAGAGUUGGCGGCUGAGAACUACUUGCAUUAGUUUCUUCAACUACAUUCUUUGAAGGGGUAGCUGCAGCGGAGGAUCUGGUUGUUCUCCUUGUGGUUUUUGGGCUUUCCUCUUUACCCAUGUCUGAAUUCUGGCAGAAAAAGAAAAACAGUAACAUUAAAGAUACGAAUUUGAGUAGAGACAACAUUUAAGACAAACAAUAGCACCUAGGAAUUACAAUGCAAACCAACAACAAAAAGUGGAUUCAAAAUGAAGAAGUAUUGAAUCAGCUAAUCAAACACAAAGUUGCAGGGAAAUUGCACACAAAACAUUGCAAACAUCAAAAUAAAACAAAGAAAUGACAUCCAAGGUUAGAUAUCAAUUCAAUACAGAAAUUUAAUCAAAACAGGAAAUAAAAUUUAUCAAAAGAAAAUAGCCCCUCUCAACGAGCAUUAUAACUCACUCUCCUCAAAUGUUGCCCCUAAACGUAUAAAAAUCUAGUAUAUAUGUAAAUACAUUAAUAUAUAAUCAUACAGAAAUCAGUGUUUUUAAAGGCAUGCCUUCGCGCGCGUCGGAGCGAGGCGGCAGGAAAUCGCCCGAGGCGGUCGGCUGUUUCGCGAGUUGCACGUUUAGCGCGAAGAAGGAGUAAGGAGGCGUUGCAAGGCGUGGCCAGGAGGAGCGAGGCGGAGCAAGGCGAGCCAGAUCUGGACACUUCUGAACCGGAAGAAAUUUUGCGAGUCUGCAAAUUGGCUGCGACCCUGCGAGGUAGGCGACUUCGCGAGGAAGACGACUCGCGUGUUCUGUUUUCAGGUUUAUUGUAAUGAAACGACGUCGUUUCGAUUGCAGUGUUUUUUUUUUCUUCAAAAAAAAAAAAUCUAAAUGAAACGACGUCGUUUCAUUUGGAGUGUUUUGAAGGAAAAAAAAGGGGUUAAUGACCUAAAUGAUCCUCCAACUAUUGCUUCAAUAUCAUUUUGGUCCACCAACUAAAAUUUUCAUUUAAAACGUCCUUAAACUUUUUAUUUUGUACAAAGAUGAUCCAUCCAUCAAAGUCUGUGUAUUAUUUCGUGAAAUCGAGGGACAAAACCGUAUUUUUAGGUGAGCAUCCUCCUUUAAAAGACUAACUACUAUUAUUUUGGUUCACCAACUAAAAUUUUCAUUUAAACCGUCAUUCAGCUCUUGUCUUUUUUUUUGGAUAAAUUACUCAAAUGGUCAUCAAACUUAUACCAGAUUUACAUUUUGGUCCCUCAAUUAAAUUAUUCAUUCAAAUGGUCCAUCAACUCUAUAUUAUUUGCUCCAGUGAUCCUACCAUCUAAUUUUCUAUUAGAUUUAACCAAAUUUUAGGGUAAAUAAUUACCAAUUUGCCCUCAUAUUUAACAGAAAUAUUGACAGAAUGUAACGGUAUGACCAAUGAAGCGAAUAAUAUAGAGUUGAUGGACCAUUUGAACAAAUAAUUUAAUUGAGGGACCAAAAUGUAAAUCGAGUAUAAGUUUGAGGACCAUUUGAGUAAUUUACCCUUUUUUGGUAUCAAGAUGGUCCUACUGUUAAAGUCUUUCAAUUUUAUUGUUAAAUUGAGGGGUAAAAAUGUUUGUAUGAAUUAAAAUAGUAAUGUACAAUUAAAAAUGAAAGGAAACUAUUAUAAAACUUAGAAAAUUUUAAAAAUUUGAAUCUCACCAGCCACAUGACUUUUUUUUUUCGUGAGACUGACCUAACAAUUAAUAAUAAAAAAUUAUCUGUUGUUUAAAUGAAUUAAAAUCACAUAAAUAUAACAACAAAAUAACAAAUUUUUUGAAAGAGUAAACAAUAAUUAACAAUUAAAGGAAACUAUUAUAGGAACUUGUACCUAAUUUUAAAAUUGAAAAAAUUGAAUCUCACCACCAACAUGACUUUUUUUUUUGCUGACAUGGACUUAAAAAGUAAUAAUUUUUUUCUCCAUUGUUUAAAUUAAUUAAAUUUUUUUAAAUAAGAUCAAUACAAAAAUAAAUAACAAUGAUAUUGACGGACUUUGAUGGUAAGACCAUCUUGAUACCAAAAAAAAAAGUUGAAGGAUGGUUCAAAUGAAAAUUUUAGUUGGUUGACCAAAAUGAUACUGGAGCAAUAGUUGAGGGACCAUUUCAGUCAUUAACCUUUUUUAAAUAAUAUUUUACUUUUUUGCCCCUUAAUUGAAUGGAAUAUUUGACAGACUUUAACGGUAGGACUAUGUUGAUACAAAAAAAAAAAAAAGAGUUGAAGGACGGUUCAAAUGAAAAAUUUAGUUCGUGGACCAAAAUGAUACUAGAGCAAUAGUUGGGGGACCAUUGGGAUCAAUAACCUAAAAAAAACGCAAGUUUCUGUUUUUUUUUCUUUCUUACCUUUUUUUCUUGCUUGCCUUUUCUAAAUCCAGUCGGCCGUAGCUUUACUUACCUUUUUUUUUUUUUUUUUCUAAACUAAUAUAUUAACAUAUGGACUUAUCUUCUAGGGUAAAUUACUCAAAUGGUCCUUAAACUUAUACUUGAUUUACAUUUUGGUCUUUCAACUAAAUUUUUCAUUCAAAUGGUCCAUCAACUAUAUAUUAUUUGCCCUAGUGGUCCUACCGUCUAAUUUUCUGUUAGAUUUAACCAAAUUUUAGGGUAAAUAAUGAUCAAUUUGCCCUCAUAUUUAACAGAAAUAUUGACAGAAUGUAACGGUAGGACCAAUAGAGCGAAUAAUAUAGACUUGAUGGACUAUUUGAACGAAUAAUUUAAUUGAGGGACCAAAAUGUAAAUCGAGUAUAAGUUUAAGGACCAUUUGAGUAAUUUACCCUAUCUUCUAUAUAUAUAAAGCAAAAGACAGAGAAUGGUGAAAACAUUCAAAAUACCAGAAAAUGCCCUUAGUUAAUUCAAACAUUAAGAAUUGAAAUUAUUAAUUAAAUGAGGAUAAUAUGGUAAAUUCACAUUUUUUAUAUUAAAAAAAUAAAAUAAAAUAAUAACUACCCAUGUUAUCUUUUCUUAAUAUUAAAAAAUAAUAAUAAUAAUAAAAAGAAAUUGGCACAUGCUCAUGCAUGUGCUAAGGAGCUAGUAUAUAUAUAUAUAUAUAUAUAUAUAUAUAUAUAGGGUUAUUUACUGUAGAAGUCCCUGAACUUGGCCCCCAUUUGCAAUUGGGUCAGUGAACUUUUUUUUUCAGCAAUUACAUUCGUUAACUUGAUAAAUAGUUCCAAUUGGGUCUUGCCAUCCAACUCUGUCAAUUUGUCCAUCAAAAUGAGGGAUAAAAGCGUCCUUUUCAGAAUGGAUUGAACAGAACCACAAUCUAAAAACAAAAUCAGAUGGAAUUUUUUUUUCCCAAAUAUGAUCAGAGAAACAAAACACCUAAAACCCAUACGAAAAUCCUGAUCUAAUCACAAACACCAACAAAAUGCAGUUCACAAAUUCAUCAAUUCAACAAACAACAAACAAAAGGAGAAUUUUUCCAAAGCUUUCGAGACAUGAACAUCUAAAAAGAACUAUAGAAAAAUCGGAGAAAUAGAAUCACAACGAAGCUAGCCAUCGUGAGCUCGGUGGUGAAGCUGGAGUCGCAGCGCCUAGCAUAGAUAGUGAAGCAGGUGCAGAAGUUGACAGCGUUGGAUUUGGCCACGUCUACCAACGUCGUGGCUUAGAUGGCGGUUGCGGUGGCAUUCAUUAUGGCGCCAAGGGCGCCGUCGCUGUUACGGCGAUAUCGGAGAAGGAGAGCUUAAGGGGAUGGGGUUGAGGGUGGGUUUUGGGUUUUGCAGGUUGGGAGAUGGGGGGUGGGUUGCAGGUUGGGUUGGGAUCUGGGUUUUGAGGGAGUGGGCUAAGGAUGAGGGGAAAUGGGUUGCUAGAGAGAGGGAGAGACAGAGAGGUAGAGCUGAGAGAGAGAAGGAGAGCUUAAAGAUAAACUCACUUACCUUCGGGAAUGAUUCACCUCCUCCAUUCCAGCCAUACAACUAUUUGGAAUAGUGGUAUAGAUGCUUUGCUUGAGGACUCAAAGGAGAACUGUGUUUGCUUCUUUUCUAGCUAAGCUAAAUUCAAAAGUCAAUGCCAGCCGUAAUUUUAUUUUAUUUUAUUCUUCAUUUUUUUCAUUUUUUUUGUUUUCAAUUUUACAAACUGUAAAUAGAGCCAAGUAAAUCCUAUGUGGUUUCUACCAAUCACAAAUGGAUUUGUAUUGUAAACUUGUGAAGAUGGAGGUGGGUUGUUAGGGUUGAUGAUGGAUGAAGAAGGUGGAUGUGGGGUCAAUGAUGGAUGAAGAACCCGAAAAGACGCUUUUACCCUCUCACUUUGACAGAAUUGGAAGGAAGGACCCAAUUGGAACUAUUUAUCGAGUUAACGGAUGUAAUUGCCGGAAAAAAAGGUUCACGGACCCAAUUGCAAAUGGGGGCCAAGUUCAAGGACGUCUACAAUAAAUAACCCUAUAUAUAGUAUAGUACAACCCUAAUUUCUACCCUUACCAGAUAAUCUCCAUCAAUUUCAAGAAUUCUCUUCAUCUUUCGACUGCAAGUAAGCCAUUUUAUUUUUCUCUCUAAUUCUUCGCAACUGUAAUUUGAAGUUCCAUAUAAUUUUUUUUCAAUAUAUUAGUUAUCUUAUUCGUUUAUGUGAUAUAGUAGAAAUUUGAUAUACAUGCAUUAUACUUGUAUCUUAGAAAUAUUAAUGGUGUUGUUUUAUAGCUAUGAAUUAAAAAAAUCCUGCGUGGAAGUAUGCAAAAGAAAUAGGGGGGAAAAAUACUUAAGAUGCACAUUUUAUGAUCAAAGAUGUAAUGGAGAAAUUUUUAGACCUAAGCAUCAUUUGGGUCAAACUCAUCAUGGUAUGCAACCAUGUAAGAAAGUUCUUGAGCAUGUGAAAAAAUAGUGUGUUGCAACUUUGAAAAAAUUUCAACCUGAAAAAAGAAAGAAAAAUGAAAUGCUUAGAGAGAUUGGGGAUGGUCCACGAGGAGGGGCUCAUAGUAUGGAAACUUCAUUGGAUGGUCCAUAAGGAGGGGCUUAGAGAGAUUAGGGAUGGUCCCGGUACUAGGAGUGUUGCAAUUGAUGAAGCUCUUAGAGCACAACCUAAAUCAAAAGGACCAAUGGAUAGAUUUGUCACUUUAGAAGCUCGGCAAAGUACAUUAAAUUCAGCAUACAAACAAGAAGAAAGAAAGGAAGUUUGUCGAAAGAUCGGUCAUUUUUUCUUCUCUAGAGCACUCCCAUUUAAUAUUGUAAAUGAUCCAUUUUGGCUACCUAUGGUAGAAGGGAUUGCCGCAUAUGGUGUAGGAUUUAAGCCUCCAUCAAUGCUGACAGAUGGGGAUGAGGCGAUGCGCACAAAGUAAUUGAGUAUGUGUUGCCCAUGUGCAAUCAUAGGUUGUGCUCAUGGCACGUGGCAACGAAUGCACAAAAUAGCUCAAAGGAUGAAGAAUUGGUACGAUCAUUUCAAGCAUAUCUUUGGGAACUAAUUACAGUCAAUGAGUUUGAAAAGAAAUGAGAGUUUUUGAAGGUCAGAAUUAUACACAUAAAUAAAAGGAUGACUGUAAAUGAUGUAUGUAAAACGAGAUGAGUGGGCGAAAUCACACCUCAGACCCAAGUUUUUCAGUGUAUGUGUACUACUCAAUGCGUGGAGUGUAUGAACAAGUUUGUGAAAGAUUACUUGAGAAAAGACGUUAAGUUGUUUGAAUGCAUAUCACCGAAAACAGUAAAAAAAAAUUGCUUACAACAAUAUUUGUUUUUAAUUAUAAUUAUUUUUUAAUAUGAAAAAAGUGUAAAUUUACCAUAUUAUCCUGAUUUAAUUAAUAAUUUCAAUUCUAAAUGUUUGUGUGGGCUUCAAUUAUCCCAUUCUGAGUAAAUAAAAACUAGGCCUAAAGUAUCCUGAAGGAGAAGCAAGUCCUAGGGAAUACUAUGUUUUUCUUCAAGUGGCUCUUCAGAUUUAUGACUUCUUCCAGCGGCUCUUUGGAUUUCUACGACGGCUGCAUGAGUUUAUACAAAGACCAUAUAAGCUUGGCAUGUGAAUCAGAAUAUUAAAGAGUUUGACAUGAGAGGCUUGUGAUGUGGGAGCUAAGUGCCCAUAAGUUUAGCAUGAGAGAGAGAUUUGCUAGAGGAAUGGAUGAUUAUGGCUGUGUGUUGUGGCAUAGUUUGGAUAAUGUUUGAGGCUUGAGAUGAUAUUCAGGGCAUGGUGAUAAUGUCUAAAGGAUGGAUGAGCUUGCAUCUGGCUAUUGCUUGGUUGUGUGGUGGUCAUGUUGGUGUUUUGGACUUGAAGUGGUGUGAGCACGAUGCAGAGAUUAAGGGUUGGUUUUGGGUGUUCCCAGUAGCUAGAGGAUGAGCUUGCCUUUAGCUACUGCUUGGCAAUGUCUGGGUUUUGUGAUUGGUAAGGCUUGUUGGUGUUUUGCAGAAGGUGAGCUUGCCUCUUAGUUGUUUCUAGAUGAUGUGCAGGGUUUUGGAAUGGCUAAGACUUGGUGUUUUCUAACAGAGGGUAAACUUGCCUUUGCCUUUCUUCUUUCUCCUCUUGGUAACUGAUGCCUCCCAUUUAUAGGAGCUGGGAGUUCUUGGCAGUUGUGGAAGAUUGGGUUUUUAAUGUAUGAAGGUGAGGCAUAGGUGGUUGUGGCUUUAAUUGAGUUUGACUAUGGUUUUGCUGCUGGAAGGGUUUAAUGCUAGAAGGUAGGAAAUUGGAGAUUGGGUAAUAAAGGUUGGAAGGUUGGUAGAAGGCGUGUUCUCUAUGCUUACCCAUUCAAUGGGCUCAAGAAAAUGAGCUUGGGUAAGCAGCCCAAAAUCUUCAGUAUUUUGAACUUUUGAUGGGCCUCAUGGAUCCUUGUAACCAUCUAUACCACAACCUAUUCAACAAGCUCCAUAUAUGUGGCUUGGGCCCACUUAAGCUUUAUCGGGUGGUUUAGCAUAGUAAAAUGUAUUAUUGGCUUGGCAUGACAUAUACUGUUAUAAAACUAGAGGGAAUUGUAUAGAGCAAUAAGAGGAAGAGAAAUACAGAGAAUUUUUUCUAUGAAUUUGUAUCAACCUAUCUUAUUCAUCUUUGAUAAGCGCCUAUUUAUAGGCUUACAAUAGAGGUAUUUAACCCACAAUUUAUAGCUAGAAAUUAAAAUAAUAAGGGCAUAGGUUACAAAGCAGUAAGGGGUGAAGGUAAUGGAUGUUAUGGUGGUCAUCCACAUUCCAUAGAUUUAUAACACUCCGCCUUGGAUGUCCACCGUACAAUGACAUUGUUGCCUCAUUAAAAACCUUGCUUGAAAAACCCAGUGGGACAAAACCGAAGACAAGGGGAAAAGAGUGCAUCUUUCUUCUGAAUCAUUGAUAUGAUGUUGGACAUGCUUAUGUUGUCUCUUUAAAACCUUACUAGGAAAAACCCAGUGGGACAAAAACCUAGUCGAAGGGAAAAAGAGUAUAACGCACAUAUGUCCUGUAUGUAGUAGAAUUGAGAUGCUCCCCCUGAUUUUCAUUAACUUAUGGAAUUUAGGCUUCAGAAAAAGUUUUGGUAAAAAGGUUCGCCAGAUUAUUUUGUGAACGAAAAAUCUCUUGGCUUUUUUUUUUAAAAAAAAUCACCUUUGAUGAACCCUUCUCUGAUUUGAGCAAUACAAGCAACAUUGUCUUCAUACAUGAUUGAUCUAUUCGACCUGCUUUUCACUUUUCAAAUGAUUGAACUCUUUAGGAGCAUCAACAACUAAUUUAAUAGUUAGAAUAUGUUACAACAAUAUCAAAUUUGAAUUCAAAAUACUCAAACUCUUAGUGUUAACUCUUAAUUAAGAAUAUUAUGGUACUUUAUAUCCUUCAAGGGGGUCGCUUCAUCCGAUAUAUCUCAAAUAUUUCAUGAGCUUUGAGAAUUUCCAUAUACCAUAUAGUCUUAAUAAAUAUACAUUAAACACAUGCUAUAAGUUUUGCUUUAAAAUAACAACUGCACUUAUAUAAAUGUGGAUGCAUCUACGAUGAGAUGGGAGACUAAAACCAUGUCUCUCCCAGGAAACCUUAUGUCAUAUUAGUGAUCUUAUUUCACUUCACAAACACCAAUUCGUAACCUUCAUACUUAACAUUUGUAAUUUGGUGUUUGAGCUAUAGGUUCAAUAUCCCACACUUCAUAUUUAGUGAUAAAUGGAAUUGCCUAUUUCUAUUUUGGCCAAUCACUUAACUUGUCGAUUCAUAAGGUAAGAUGUAAUAUAAUCAUAGCCCUUGAAGUAGUUACUAAUAAACCAAAUGUAUCAUCAAUUCGUGAUCCCAUAAUUCUCAUGUGCAUGCGCAUGCAUAAUUUAUAAGCAUUUCAUUGCUUUGGGGUACCAGUGCCUCUUCAGGGGCUUAUGUUGUCACUUAUGAGACAAACAUCUCUUUUACGAUGAAUUAAUUAGAAUAUGUGGAUUAUAACCUCCUAAAGAGCAUUAUUUUUGAUAGGGCUUGAAUUUUUCAAAUAAUCUCCACUUAUGGGGAGUUAAAUUUAUAGAACCUAUAUUUUUGUCACGCUUCAGACAUGCAUUAUAUAUAGUCACUUAUUGUCAUGUUAAUGAAUUGUAAUACAUGAAUAUCAAUCCGUGCUUGCAUAUUCAUAACUUCAUAUAUGCAUUAUCUUGAUGAGACAAAAACGGACCGAUUCAACACUAUUUCACAACGUUCUUCAAGAACUGCCAUUUCUCCCCCAUAACAGUGGGAAAAUUGUCUCAAAAUGUAGGAAAAUAAACUCAUCAUCAUUAUCAAGUCAAAUUGACUGGAUUGGAUAAUGUGGGAGUUGUGCUCAUAAGAGUCUUGAUAAGAGACAAAUAUGUGACCAUUUUAGUAGGCACAUUCAAUAAAACUGGUGAAGUGAUCCAUAAUUAAAUGUUGUAUAGGUUCACAAAUAUCCCUUUGAAUUAUUGAAGGAAAGAGGGCUCAAAGUCAAUUUUUGACUGAGAUGAUCUUAUGACAGCUUUUAUUUGUGAGCAUUCUUUGUAAUGAUAUUUGUUGGACAAGACAAUAUUUUGAGUCUUUAAACAAUGUCCUUACAAAUUUAUAAAAUUCUUAUGUAUCAUUGUGGAACAUGGAUUGCCAAGACAGUCAUAACACAACAUAAAAGUUAUCCAGUCAAUGAACUUCUGGUUCAUGACAUCAUAGUCUUCAAUUACUUUAAUAGUUGUGUAAUAUUAGGGCCUUAUGAACUUUUGGUUCAUGACAUUAUAAACUUCCUACCCACAAAAGAAAGUAGGAAGUUUCUCCAAUAGAUGCCUUUGGCUGUCAAUAUUGGGGCGGUAAUACAAAACAUUACUAUUGUAAAACGAAAUUAACUAAUAACCCAAUAUAAAUAAAAUAAAAUGAGUAAAGUGGUAUAAACGAGGAAUAAAAUAAAUAAAUUAAAGACUAUGAAAUUUCAAGAUAAUCCAAUAUUAAUAUGGAUUCAAUAUGUAGAUAAAACUAUAAUUUAAGAAUUGGAUUUCCAACCAGUUCAGGUUCAUAUAAGGCACAAAUAAGUAAUGAACUUCAAGUUCAUAUAUAGUAUUAAGAUCCAUGAACAACUAUGAAUUUCAGGUUCAUAUCAACAUAUAUUCGAAACUUCAUGUUCGAAUACGUAGAUCUAAAUAAAUUGAAUUAAUAGUUGUGCUUUGAACUUCAUACUCAAAUCGAUAUAUAUAUAUAUAUAUGCACUCGAAACUUCUAGUUCAGGUUCUUGACAUAUGUAGGCCUCAUGAAAUUCUGAUUUUGAUUAAUACAAAAUCAAGGAGUUUUAUGUCCUUAUGUGCUCUUUAAAUUCGCAGAAGUUCACGCCCUCAAUUAUUUGGAAUCAAAGAGCUUUAGGUUCUGAUUCAAUCGAAAGGACUCUAGGUCUUAAUUAGUUAUAUGAUGAGGAUCGAGGAUCUUCAGGCCCUGAUCUUUUGUAUAAUACAAACUCAUCAUAAUAAUUAAGAUCAUACAUAAAUUAAAUAAACAAACAAUAAAAAAAUAAUGGCAUUAUAUUCAUGUGCAAUAAGAAUAAGAAUUUCUUUUUCUUAAAUGAGCAUGACGAAGUCUGAUGGUGAGUACGAAGAAACUCUAUACCAUGUGAUGACUCUAGCUCAUAUAAGAAGAAAGAAAAUAUACCAAGAGCAAUGCCGUGUUGAUAACGCGUUAUAAAACUAGAGGGAAUUGUAGAGAGCAAUAAGAGGAAGAGAAAUACAGAGAAUUUGUUCUAUGAACUUGUAUCAACUUAUCUUAUUCAUCUUUGAUAAGCGCUUACUUAUAGGCUUACAAUAGAGGUAUUUAACCCCAAAUUUAUAGUUACUAAUUACAAUAAUAAGGGCAUAGGUUACAAAGCAAUAAGCGGUGGAGGUAAUGGAUGUUAUGGUGGUCAUCCACAUUCCAUAGAUUUAUAACAUGUACAUUAUUUUCUAUAUUUAUUCAAUGAAUUAAUUCCCAAAAUACAUCUUGGAUUUACGCAUGACCAAUAUUAUAUGUUAUAUUGGGCUUCUUGUGACAUCUUGGGCAUCAAUAGUUUGUAUAUUAAUCAAAGACAUUUUUUGGUAUUUUGAAUGUUUCACAAUUCUAUGCAUUUUGCUUUAUAUAUAUAUAUAUAUAUAUAUAUAUAUGAAAAAUUCCCAUUAAGUAGUUUUAGUAAGUAAUUUUUUUUAACAUUUAAAUUAGUUAAUGGUAUUUAUUGGGAUUUUGGAUUAGUUUUUUGUUGUUGAAGUUAGGAAGGGAAAAGGGGACAACCUCACACACACUCGCCAUAAGAGCUUGAAUCCAAUACUCUAUUGGUUAUAUUUUGAAACAAAGUACGUUAGUGUUUAAAUUUCGAAACUUGUGUUAAUCUAAAUUUCGAAAAUUGUGUUAAUCUUCGAGCAACUCCCGUACAAAUCAGAAGUACGAAAAUAAAAAUGGAACUUAACAUGAUAAUGAUAAGUGCAAACAUAGCUUAACAUUAUAAAACUUUCUUUCUUAAUGCCCAGUUUACAAAUUUAGGAAAAAUUUAGGGAAACCCUAGAGUAUUGUGUAUUCAAUCCUCAUAAGAAAGAACAACAUAACUUCAGCCAAAAAGAAGAAAAUUAAACACAGAAAUAAGUAUAACAUGUGAGUUAUUGCCAGCCCCCCUGUGAAGCUCUGUACAAGUCAAAUUCAAGGCAAUAAAAGAAAAUAUCAUACAAUGGCAACAUCAAACUUUGAGACUAGGAAUAUGAGUGACACA
rnacentral:lncRNA from 1 species